rnacentral:lncRNA from 1 species
UAGUGGUAGGAGGCGCCAUUUCUCCUCGUCUCUCUACCGCAAAUGUUACAUCUUUGCUUUUAUCUUUCUCUAAUCUCGUGUGAGCAAUGUGUGGUCUUGGUGUAAUAAAUGGGGUGCCUUGCUGCACAGUAGUGAGGAAUUCAUGCUAUGGUUUUACUCGUUUUGUUAUGACCUGGUCAUAAUUUGGUCGCCAUUUUGGUAAACUUAUGGAAUGGGGAACUUUUGUAUUAUGAAAUGGCUUAUAGUGUCUCUAGAUUAAGUAGUGUGAUUUUCUUUUACCUCACACUGGCUAGCUGUGGCGUAAGUCUGUCCAAAGAGGUUUCUAGAGAAAUUUCUUUAUCGAGAGUUACCUGGUGCUAAGUUGUUAUGGCCUAGAUGUGGUGUGAAUAUUGGUGCACAUGCAUCUCUAGAGAAUCUGGGAAAAUGAAGUUAGAUUGCAGGUUUAGGCAGCACUUGAACACACAUAUUCAUGAAUGCUUACAGCCCCAGGGAAUAAAUAAGUUUUGCUGGCUGUUAACUUGAUCCACAUAAUGAGUUGAUAAUAAUUGUACUCCCUUCAUUCAUAUUUUUUGUUGCAUAAAAAAUGAUGUCAUUUGAUUCGUAUUCCAAAUACACCCUCUGUUCCUGAAUAUAAGACGUUUUGGCGGUUACUCCCUCCGUCCCACAAUAUAAGAUGUUUAGAGAGUAACUGCCAAAACAUCUUACAUUAGUGAGCAUAGGUAGUACUUAUUUGUGGUUAUGCUUUUCUAUCACAAAAGUUACAUACUUAAGUGUUAUUCAAAGACUUGUCCUAAUGAAACCUAAUAUGCAAGGUAUUUUGGAACAGAGGUAGUAUUUGGCAAGUGUGCAUCUAUACAUUUUGAAUUAAUAUGAAAUAAAGUUGAUUAUUCAUCUUACUUCCAUUCAUCAUUGUGCUUGGUUGGAUACGCAAUGCUUGAAGGUAUCAUAGGAAUGAAUAUAUCUGAUUAUUUGUACUCCCUCCGUUCCAAAAUAGAUGACUCAAGUUUGUACUAAAGUUAGUAUAAAGUUGGGUCAUCUAUUUUGGAACGGAGGGAGUAGAAAAUAUGCUAAAAUCAUACUCCCUCUGUCCCAAAAUAAGUGUCUCAACUUUAUACUAACUUUAGUACAAAGUUGUACUAAGCUUGAGACACUUAUUUUGGGACGGAGGGAGUAUUAAAAUGGAUACUGCUGUGAAAUAGGGAAUCCUAUUGCUAAAAUGGAAAAAAAAAUUGGGCAACUAGUAGGAGCUCUGCCUUUUAAGUAAGUAGAAGAAGAAUUCACCAGUUAAAAGAAAAACUGGCUUCUCUCAUUUAGGGAUUGUGAUUUUGUCUACCUGUAGUGGUAACUAUGUUGGUCAGGCUGGCUUGUUGAGGUGAAAGUUCGUCAAAGAUUGUCUGGAUGAUUCUUUUAUAUUUUUGUGGGGAAUUACCUGGUAUUACAUUACGGUCCAUAUGUUAGUUGCAAUUUGUCAGUUUAGUGCAUAUGUAUCUCAAAAGAAUCUUGGAAAGGGAGAUACAUGGCUGGUUUUAAGGAGCGCCUGAUCACAUAGGAAGUCCAUUGAUACUUACUAACCUCGGAAAUUGAUAAGUUAUGGUGCUAAAAAAAUCUGAUCUGGCUGACAAUAGUUGUAUCAACGAGUGCACUUCCGUACAUUUAGUUGGUAUCAAAUAGAGUGGUCAUUCUCGAUCUUAUUCACCUUCAUCGCCUGAAACUCAAUUGGAAUCCAGUAAUAAAUUUGAAAUUCCUGGCCACUUGAUAUUAUUCAACACAAUCACUUGUUGCUUGGUCGGAAUCCACUAAAAACAUUAAAAGUACAGGUCACUGCAUCGGGUGAGAUUUUGGUCAACUUAUCUAUUUGAGUAGGAAUGGAUGAUCCUAAUGUAAAAUUUGGAAGUUGUGUUAAAAUGGAUUUUAGCCUGGUUUUUGCGGUACAUAGCUUUAUAGUCAAGAUGUGCCAAUGUGGGUGGUGCACCUAAAAGGAACCUAGUGAAAUGAAGACAUAUCUUAAGGUUUAACGAGCACUGGAGCACGCAGAAAGUUCAUCGAUGCUUACUAACCUAGGAAACAACUUGAGCCACCUGGUGAUAAUGCUAUUGUCAAGUGUGGUGUGUACAUUUUUUGUUAAUACGAAAUACAGUUGAUUAUUCUCUUGGAUGUUCCCCUCGAGCAAUGUUUUUGGAAGCUGAUCAGCUGUUUUGCAGAUAUAAGAAUGAUCUGCAAUUAUAGUAUUUAAGAAUAUAUUUGAUGAAUAGUGUAAUUAAUCACUUGUUGUCAACCAUUUUCUAGUAUAAUUUUUUCAGGGAUAGUUCGAUAUCACAUACUCCCUCCAGUCCUUUUUAGUUCGCAUAUAAAAUUUGUCUGAAGUCAAACAUUGUAAACUUUGACCAAGUUUAUAGAAAAAAAUACCAACAUUCAGAAUGUGAAAUCAACAACAUUAGAUGCGUCAUAACUUUAGCUUUCAUAUUGUAUAAAUUUAGCAUUGUAGAUGUUAAUAUUUUUUCAUAUAAAUAUGGUCAAACUUUACGAAGUUUGACUUCAGACAAUCCUUAUAUGCAGAAUAAAAAAGACCAGUGGGAGUACCAAGUUGCAGUUUUAUCGAAAUAUAUAUUGUGGGAGUGGUUUCAUUCAUGUUUGGUCUAAUGCUUGCUCUGCCCUGCAAGGGAAACUAGACACACUGAGAAGUGAUGUUGGAACUUGCAACAGCCUGAACUCACGGGUAGGCUGUGCAACGUCUAAAAGAUAUAACCAUGAUUUGCGAUGAGUAUGGGUUUCGCCGUACGGUCAUAUGUGAUGUCCAUCUGGGAACACAGUAAGAUCUAAGAUGCCCAUUCUUGCAAAAGAAACAGUUUGUUGUAGAUUAUGUUUGAGAGAAGUGCAUAUUACACCCCUCAACUCUAGCCCUAGUCUAAUAUACAUCCCCCAACUCCAAUACCAUCUAUUUUAUACCCCCCAACUCUCAAAACCAGGCGGAAUUCAACCCUUCCCUCCCCGUUGACCGGUUUUGACACGUUGACUGGGUGAACAGUAACAAAAAAUCAAAAAAUAUUUUGGUUUUUCCAAUGAGUGAACAGUAAAUUCAAAAAAUAAGUUGGAAAUAAAAUUCAACAAGCAGUUUCGAUUUUUUACCUGGUGAAUAGUAAAUUCCAAAAAUACUUUUUUCCAAAAAAACCGAAUUAUUUUUGCGUGGACGAUUUUUCAGCGUGUGAUGUCUGUGACAAUUUUCAGCUUGUUUGGACAUUUCGGUGGUCUCUCAACAAAAAAAAUAUAUCAGCCCGAACUGUUAACUAUUUCAUGCAAAUAUAAUUUAGAAAAAAAAUUCCCUUAAUUUUUUCCUGAAAUUUACUGUUCACCCGGACAAAAAAUCAACAUUUUAAAAAAUCAAAAUUAUUUUUAAUUAUUUAUUUAGAACUUUUUAAAAUUUUACUGUUCAGCCGGUGAAAAAACGUAAUUUUUUUAAAAUAUAUUUCUUUUGAAUUUACUGUUCAUCAUUCAACAGGUCAAAACCGGUCACCGGGGAGGGAAGGGUUGAAUUCCGCCUGGUUUUGAGAGUUGGGGGGUGUAAACUAGAUGGUAUUGGAGUUGUGGGUUGUAUAUUAGACUAGGGCUAGAGUUGAGGGGUGUAAUAUGCUAUUGUUGGUGACUUGGCGUUCCUUUCUGCGGUGUGCAUGCAUUUGCUUAUUAUCGUGGAGAACUGACCUUACAUUAGCCAUGUGAGUAUUCAUGUUUCAUGCUCUUAGUAUUCAUAUUUAUUGCUCUUGAGAUAAUAUCAGACCAUAUAUUCGUUUCAAGUUCAUAUGAGAUUCAUCCACUGGAAGAUCAGCUUGAGAUUACUAAGUCGUUUAUGCAUAUGCAGUAAUUGCAAUGACCUUUCGGUUUAUUUACCUUCCUGUGAAUUCAGUCGCUAGGGAUUGUAUGGCUGGAUGUGAAAUAAACAAAACUUUGAGAUUGUUUCAUCUCGGUUGCUUAGUUCCCACCUGAUCUACAUUGGUUUUGCACUUCUUUAUCCUUGUGUCUAUGUUUUCACUGACAAAAAAAUUUAGUUAGUCAAAUGCAGUUAUAGUAGUAGGCAAAAACUGCGGCAUCAUAUCCCAGGGAAACACUUGGGUAAAUAAUGAGUAUCACUAAUUGAUUGUUUCUGCAUUGUUCAGUUGCUCUUACCAAGCCCUAGAAUACGUAAACAAAAUCCAGCUCUACCACGCCUGAUGGAAAGCCACCAGGUGAGGAUUCUCAAUAUUCAACGGGGAAGAACCACGUCGGAAACCGCGGGCUAUCCCACGGCAGGGGCACCGGCGCCGAUGACUCCGGCAGCAACGGCGUGAUAGUUUUACGUCUCAUGUCGAACACGCCGGAGUCCCCGAGCGAGCCAUCACCGGGCUUCCUCCCAAGGUACUGGCGUCGCAGGAAGUAGACACAAUCUUCUCGAGCUCCGUCACCAGCGGGGACAGACUUGGAGCACCGUGCGCACACGAAGAUCGCCCGGCCACCCAGGCCGUCGACCUUCUUCCACCGGCCAACGCGCGGCCUGCCGUCUCCCAGCUCCGCCUCGAACACGUCCAGCCGCUGCGUCCGCUCCAUGCGCCUGUAACCACCCGGCCCGUCCGCGGCCGAUCUCACGCACCGCCUCGCCAUGCUCUCCAGCGCGUCCCAUCUCACCCAUCGCCUCACCAUCAGCAGCCUGCCGUCGGACUCGACGAGGUACAGCCGGGCCACGCUGUCGGGAAAUCUUUUCUGAAUCCUGUAGCGUAUGUAACGAGAACUGUCGUGGGAGUCGUGUGCCCGACUGGCUUCUAUCAGCGGGACGCCGCCUACCACGUCGGGCCUGGCUCCUGCCGGGGUCGGCUUCUGGAGGCGGCCAUUGCCGAGCUCGAAGCCGAGGAGCUCCUCGUUGUGGGAGAGGCCGUAGAUCUUCCCUUGAAACAGAGCGAUGUCGAUGAUGGAGAACUCGCUCAGCACCAGGCAGGAGUUGACCUCGCAGCCCGGGCGGCGGGUCGAGACGACGACCCUGCAGUCGCUGGUGAGGACGGCGAUCACGGGGAGCGCCGCCGAGGGCGCGGAGACCACCACCUUCUCGACGCCCGUCCUGUACUUCCCGUCGUGGGGGUCGACCUUGUAGUACCGCAGGAGGGCGGCGAGCUCGGGCUGCGGGGUCAUGGCGCCGGAGAAGGCGUCCAUCAGGGAGCACCGGCCGUCGUCGUGCAUGACGAAGAGCAUGUUCUCGCCGGCGCUGUAGCAGCCGGCGGCGGCGUCCGGCAGGCGCACGCGGUGCGCCGUGUUGUUGGCCGCGUCCAGCAGGGUGCCGUCGCCGAAGAGGAUCCAGGGGAGCUGCACGGGGGGCGGCGGCUGAUGCCUGGCGCUCGAGCGCCACGCGCGGCAGACGGCGCGGAGGCGGACGCGGUCGGCGAGGGACGGGAGGCGGUGGAGGACGACGCCGAGGAGAUCCGGCGGCAGGUCCGGCCACCCGGAUCGGCUCUGGCUUUUGGGAGGCGCCAUAUGAUAUGGUCUGAUGUCCUGAUAGGUAUGGUAUAAGCACGAUAUGCUUAUGUAGGAUUGUGAAUCCUAGACGGGGGAGUCGGGAUUGGGACUCGGCUGGGCGUCUCUCGGAUAAUGGAUCCGACGAACUCAGUCCACCGAGAACUCGCCGCAUCCAACGACGCCGAGUAGUUUCCGAGCACAACGACGAAGGCGAAGAAGCAAGGGGUAGGUACUAUAUAUAUGCUACAACUACAGAAAACUAGCGGAUACAUAACGGUGACUUCCCUCAAAAAAAAAUUAAUAACGGUGACUGCAUCUAAAACUAGCACGAGAUGGCACCAGGAAGCCGUGUUUACUUCCAGCAACCAAAGUCAAUUGCGGGAGCUCUUUUUUUUUAACAUCAGUACAGACACAAGCGCUCAUAUACACGCACAUACACUCAUCCUUAUGAACGCACAUACGCACACCCUAUCCCUAUAAGCACCUUCGCAAGACUGAGCUGGCAUAUCAUCUUGAGAUUUACGAAGUCGCCGUAGGCGCCUCGUCAUCUAUGGGAACGUCUCCUCCCACUAAAUGUGCAUCGCCGGAAAUCUUGAAAUAAAUCCAUGAAUAAAUGCGAGCACCAGGAUUUGAACCCUGGUGGGCUGAGGAUACCAUAGUCUCUCUAACCAUCCAAUCAUAGAUUGGUUCGCAAUUGCAGGAGCUCCUAUUGGAUGGUGAUUGCAUGGAAUAACAAUAUUUUUAGGGGUACGUGGAAUAGUAGUUCUUUUUCAAGGGUACGUGGAUUUUUUUAGGGGUAGGGGGGUAUAUUUUUAGAAGUUUGUCGAUUUCUAAAAAAUCCCUGCAAACGAAAAAAGCUCAUAGAUUUAAAAGAAUGUCUUGAAUUUGUAAAAUCUUUGCGCAGUAUUUAGGAACAGGGAGAGUAUUAUUUUCAUGAAUUCUAAAAAUAUGCAUUUUCUUUAAAAAUAAGAUUUAAAAGAAUUGUGAAUUAAAAAAAUGUUAAUAGCUUUGAAAAAAAUCGCAAAUUUUAAAAGGUUCAUCAAUCUGAAAAAUGUUCAUAAAUAUGAAAAAAAAAUCAUGAAUUGAAAAAGUGUUCACCAAAUUUAAAACUCGUGAAUUUAAAAAUGCUGACAACUUUAAAAUUUUGUUCGUGAAUUGUCAAAAACGUUCAAGAAUUUGAAAAAUAAUGUUUGCGGUUAUGACAAAAUGUUCACGAAGUCUAAAAGUGUUCACGAAUUUGAAAAAAAUGUUUGCGAUUAUGAGGAAAUGUCCAUGAAGACCCCACCCACCCACCCACCCACCCAAGGUAAAUCCAAAAAAAACAAGGAAAAACAAAAAAAAACAGCUUGAAUGUUCUACAAGGUUCCUAAAUCACGUGAACUCCCUAAGAAAAGGAAAAAAAUGAGGUACGUGCACCGUCCCAUACUCCCAUUAGAGGAACUACACUCGCCACACGUGUGCCCUUUUGGUACGAAAAGGCCUAUAUUUUUACAUGUGAGAGUAGAUUAACAUAUCCGUGACGCACUUCAUAACUGUCGUGAAGUAAAUUAACAUAUCUGUGGCUAACGAUGGCCUGACGCACAUCAUAACAGCCGACGUUCGCGUACUUGGAGUAGUCACGCGGAUCGUGAUAUUUGGUACUACCUCCGUCCCGGUGUAUAAGUCAUUCGCGUAGUUCUAGGUCGAUAAUUUAACUAUCUAAAUAUGUAUUAUAUGUGAUAAAAAAUAUAUAUUUAGAAACUACAUCCGUGUGGAAAUCUAGUGGUAUACUUUUCAUGACAUAUAACACAUAUUUAAUUCCUCAAAUCGAUGACCUAGAACUACGCGAAUGACUUAUACACCCGGACGGAGGGAGUAGUAACUGUCUUGCCUGCUCGGCGGGUGGGUACGGACGUUGCCUGGUCUGAUAGAUGGUCCGAGGAGCUCAGUCUUUCGGCGGUGGGGGCUGCAUGUCUCUUGUGUGAAAACUGGGGUUCGUCUUCGAGCUGCCUGUGUCACUGGGUGGAGCGGCUCGACCGCGUCGACGUUCUGAAACUCCUCUAUCUCCCAUCGGCCAUAGGAGAGGGAAGGUGUACUCUGUCCACGAUCGCAGACCCCAGCCCCUCAAUCCACAGCCGCCGGGACCUCCGCCCCUGAACGCGACAACCGCGGUGUCGGCUAUGCUCCGAUCUGCCGCCGGAUUCGCGCUCCGGCGCCAGGCGCCGGCCCCUCGUUUCUCCAGCCACGGCGGCGGCAGCAGCCCUGGAUGCAGCUGCACCACCAGGGUAGGUACCUCUACUUUGCCCAUGUGGAUUUUCUAGGCAGGUGGGUGUGCAGGUUGGAUUAGGUUGCGAGAUUAAGAUUUCCAGUGUAAUUUACGGAUCCGUCGAAUCAAAUUGCUAUUAUAUUUUUUGUUUGUAAGAUGGCACAGUUUCCUGUAUGGCAACGAACCUCCAGAUCAUCAAUUCUGAAAACCAGGAGUUUGGGUGACCGAGUGGCAUGGAAAAAUUGCUGAUUGGGGUGGUGGUGGUGGUUGUAUUCCUGUACAGUAGUGUAGUGUCUAUUGCAUUUUCGUGUUGGAUUGUCUGCAUUCUGCAUUUUCAUAUUGUACUAGUAGUUUUCAGCUUGUUUGGCGCUGAAUCAAAUAAAACAAGUUUAAUGAUUAAUUCAGCUACUCUGGUUUACAGCGGAUGUACUCUGGUGGCAUGAAUGAAUCCAAGAGCACGAUGGCUGAUGACAUCAAGAGAACAAUCGCCUCGUUUUGUGAAAAAACCGGCUGGUACAUAAAGCAUCCUUGUUUCUUGUUAAAUGCAAUACAGUGUCUUGUUAUCUGAGCUGGGACAACAAUUCGUAGAGAUCCUGGCUAGAAAGUCUUGGGUAUUGAGAAUCCUGGGCCCUUUUCUCGGUUUCUAUUCAUGGUUUCGUGGUGGGAAGUAGUUUUUUUCUUCCAUUUUAUGAUUCUUAUUUUGUGAAAUGUAACGAAGACGGCAGGGGAAAACUCAUUUGUGCCAAAUGAUCAUUGUAGAACAGUUAACCAAUUAUAUGAAAGUUGUAGAGAAUAGAGAGGGGUUCAUGAAUACAAGGGUGAAGAACAGAGCAAUUACACUGUAGAGCCAAUAUUUCUGUUCCCUUAUCUCCUAUAUUGCUUCCAUCAGUAUAUAUUUUGUUCAUAGUUGUACAGAUGGUGCAAUGCCUUGCCAUCAGUAUAUCUUUUCUUGGCUCUAUAGAACCCCAACUACAUUGCAAAAUAUUUAUUUACUAGCAUAACAGCCGUGCUUUGCUAUGGAACCACACAAAUGAUUCAGUUGCGUUGGAUUAGUAGCAUAUAAUAAGCAAUGCACGUGCAACACCGCAGAGGAGAAACUUAAUUAAGCAGCCAACAUUGCACCUGCGUAACUGUGGCAGUGAUGAGAGCACCAUUGCAAGAUAUGAUUUUCUUUCUCUUCGAAUUGGAUGGUUCUCAUGGAUUUAGAUGGAUGAGGGAGAUCGGGGUUAUCUUCACUAGUAAAGAUAUUUUGGUCAUUCUUUAUUAGUGUAUUUUAUGUUUUAGUUAUCUUCAACAACAACAACAACAAAGCCUUUAGUCCCAAACAAGUUGGGGUAGGCUAGAGGUGAAACCCAUAAGAUCUCGCAACCAACUCAUGGCUCUGGCACAUGGAUAGCAAGCUUCCACGCACCCCUGUCCAUAGCUAGCUCUUUGGUGAUACUCCAAUCCUUCAGGUCUCUCUUAACGGACUCCUCCCAUGUCAAAUUCGGUCUACCCCGCCCUCUCUUGACAUUCUCCGCACGCUUUAGCCGUCCACUAUGCACCGGAGCUUCUGGAGGCCUGCGCUGAAUAUGCCCAAACCAUCUCAGACGAUGUUGGACAAGCUUCUCUUCAAUUGGUGCUACCCCAACUCUAUCUCGUAUAUCAUCAUUCCGGACUCGAUCCUUCCUCGUGUGGCCACACAUCCAUCUCAACAUACGCAUCUCCGCCACACCUAACUGUUGAACAUGUCGCCUUUUAGUCGGCCAACACUCAGCGCCAUACAACGUUGCGGGUCGAACCGCCAUCCUGUAGAACUUGCCUUUUAGCUUUUGUGGCACUCUCUUGUCACAGAGAAUGCUAGAAGCUUGGCGCCACUUCAUCCAUCCGGCUUUGAUUUGAUGGUUCACAUCUUCAUCAAUACCCCCAUCCUCCUGCAGCAUUGACCCCAAAUACCGAAAGGUGUCCUUCUGAGGUACCACCUGGCCAUCAAGGCUAACCUCCUCCUCACACCUAGUAGUACUGAAACCGCACAUCAUGUACUCGGUUUUAGUUCUACUAAGCCUAAACCCUUUCGAUUCCAAGGUUUGUCUCCAUAACUCUAACUUCCUAUUUACCCCCGUCCGACUAUCGUCAACUAGCACCACAUCAUCCGCAAAGAGCAUACACCAUGGGAUAUCUCCUUGUAUAUCCCUUGUGACCUCAUCCAUCACCAAUGCAAAAAGAUAAGGGCUCAAAGCUGACCCCUGAUGCAGUCCUAUCUUAAUCGGGAAGUCAUCAGUGUCGACAUCACUUGUUCGAACACUUGUCACAACAUUAUCGUACAUGUCCUUGAUGAGGGUAAUGUACUUUGUUGGGACUUUGUGUUUCUCCAAGGCCCACCACAUGACAUUCCGCGGUAUCUUAUCAUAGGCCUUCUCCAAGUCAAUGAACACCAUAUGCAAGUCCUUCUUUUGCUCCCUAUAUCUCUCCAUAAGUUGUCGUACCAAGAAAAUGGCUUCCAUGGUCGACCUCCCAGGCAUGAAACCAAACUGAUUUUUGGUCACGCUUGUCAUUCUUCUUAAGCGGUGCUCAAUGACUCUCUCCCAUAGCUUCAUUGUAUGGCUCAUCAGCUUAAUUCCACGGUAAUUAGUACAACUCUGAACACCCCCCUUGUUCUUGAAGAUUGGUACUAAUAUACUCCGUCUCCAUUCUUCUGGCAUCUUGUUUGCCCGAAAAAUGAGGUUGAAAAGCUUGGUUAGCCAUACUAUCGCUAUGUCCCCGAGACCUUUCCACACCUCAAUGGGGAUACAAUCAGGGCCCAUCGCCUUGCCUCCUUUCAUCCUUUUUAAAGCCUCCUUGACCUCAGACUCCUGGAUUCGCCGCACAAAACGCAUGCUGGUCUCAUCAAAGGAGUCGUCCAGUUCAAUGGUAGAACUCUCAUUCUCCCCAUUGAACAGCUUGUCGAAGUACUCCCGCCAUCUAUGCUUAAUCUCCUCGUCCUUCACCAAGAGUUGGCCUGCUCCGUCCUUGAUGCAUUUGACUUGGCCAAUAUCCCUCGUCUUCCUCUCUCAGAUCUUGGCCAUCUUAUAGAUCUCCCUUUCACCUUCCUUCGUGCCUAACCGUUGGUAGAGGUCCUCAUAUGCCCGACCCCUUGCUUCACCAAUAGCUCGCUUUGCGGCCUUCUUCGCCAUCUUGUACUUCUCUAUGUUGUCUGCACUCCUAUCCAGGUAUAGGCGUUUGAAGCAAUCUUUCUUCUCUUUAAUCGCCUUCUGGACAUCAUCAUUCCACCACCAGGUAUCCUUAUCUUCGCUUCUCCUUCCCCUGGACACUCCAAGCUCCUCCGAGGCCACCUUACGAAUGCAAGUCGCCAUGUUCGUCCACACAUUGUUCGCAUCUCCUCCUUCCUCCCAAGGGCCCUCCUUAAUGACCCUCUCCUUGAACGCUAGAGCUACCUCCCCCUUGAGCUUCCACCACUUCGUUCUAGCGACUUUGGCACGCUUAUCCCGCUGGACACGAAUCCGAAAGCGGAAGUCAGCAACCACCAGCUUAUGCUGGGGUACAACACUCUCUCCAGGUAUCACCUUACAGUCUAGGCACGCACGCCUAUCUUCUCUUCUCGAGAGGAUGAAAUCAAUCUGGCUAGAGUGUUGGCCACUACUAAAAGUCACCAGAUGUUAUUCUCUCUUUCUAAAGAGGGUGUUAGCUACAAUCAUGUUGUAGGCUAGAGCAAAGCUUAAGACAUCUUCUCCUUCUUGAUUCCUGAUGCCAUAGCCAAAGCCCCCGUGCGCCCCUUCAAAACCUGUGUUAGAUGUACCCACGUGGCCAUUGAGGUCUCCUCCUAUGAAGAGCUUCUCACCAAUCGGUACACUCCUAACCAUGUCUUCCAGGCCUUCCCAGAACUCCCUCUUGGUGUUCUCAUUGUGGCCUACUUGCGGGGCAUACGCGCUGAUAACAUUGAGAACCAAGUCCUCAACUACCAGCUUGACCAGGAUAAUCCGGUCCCCAUGUCUCUUGACGUCUACCACUCCAUACUUGAGGCUCUUUUUGAUCAAGAUGCCUACGCCAUUUCUGUUUGCAGCCGUCCCUGUGUACCACAGCUUGAAGCCGGUAUCCUCCACCUCCUUCGCCUUCUGUCCUCUCCAUUUGGUUUCUUGGACGCAAAGGAUAUCAACACCUCUCCUCACCGCUGCAUCAACUAGCUCCCGAAGCUUCCCUGUCAGAGACCCUAUGUUCCAGCUACCUAAGCGAAUCCUCCUAGGCUCGGCUAGCUUCCUUACCCUUCGCACUCGUCGAGUCAAAUGCGAAGACCCUUGCCCAUUUUCCACUACAUCCGGGCGCCGAUGUAGCGCGCCACUAAGGAUGCGACGACCCGAUCCUCGCUCACUUGCCACCGUAUCCGGAUCAAGAUACAACGCGCCACCUUGGGGGUGACGGCGCGGCCCUUGCCCAUUUUCCAUCACACCCGGGUUCCGAUGUAGCGCGUCGCUGAGAGGGUUACGCCCCAACGAAAAUCUUUUGGGUUUCAUCUCCAUAAGAGUGGCUGAGUUUUUACGUUGGCUCGCCAAGCCUAUCACAACCCUCCUCCUUUACCCGGGUUUGGGACCGGCUAUGUUGAGACAACAUAGGCGGAGUUAUGUUUUAGUUAUCUUCACUUUAUGUUAAUGUAUUCGCUUGUUCGCAAUAUUUUCUGGAUCUCUUGACGUUUGAAUUANNNNNNNNNNNNNNNNNNNNNNNNNNNNNNNNNNNNNNNNNNNNNNNNNNNNNNNNNNNNNNNNNNNNNNNNNNNNNNNNNNNNNNNNNNNNNNNNNNNNNNNNNNNNNNNNNNNNNNNNNNNNNNNNNNNNNNNNNNNNNNNNNNNNNNNNNNNNNNNNNNNNNNNNNNNNNNNNNNNNNNNNNNNNNNNNNNNNNNNNNNNNNNNNNNNNNNNNNNNNNNNNNNNNNNNNNNNNNNNNNNNNNNNNNNNNNNCCUUAUUUGAACUUUGUGUCACAGCCUCUUGUCGUUAUACUCUUUUGGUUCUAAUUGUUUAUGCAUUUGUUGCUGAGCUUUGGAUUACAACUGACAUAUUGAUGGUGACUUUUUUUUUUGCAUCGAUAUUGAUGGUGACUUAUAGGAAAGGGAAGGACCUGUUGUUUGGCUGCAUCGCUGGUACCUUAAUGUGUACGUACAAGUACAAUGCGACAGGAGCGGGAAUACUAGGAUACAGAUUUGAUGAAGUGAGAAAGGAGCGAGAGGUGAGGAAGCAGAGGGAGGAGGCGGACAAAAACAAUAUUGAUAUUUCAUUCUGCUGAUCUCUUUGUAUACCCGAAAUGUAAGCCACACAUGAGAAAGGACGAAAGGCCACACUUGUUCACAAAAGGGAUAUCAUAAAGCUGUGAACUCUUCUAGCUUAUGUAUUUCUAAAAAAUGUACUUAUUUGAAGCUGGAAGACGUGGUGAUGCUUAUUUGUUGUUUUGAUCCUUUUCACCCUGCCAUCAGUAUAUCUUUUGUUCAUAAUUUGUACAGAUGGUGCAUGCACGGAAGAUUUGUUUCGUGCAACCAUAUGUUGUAGGUAGAAAGUCUUAACUUGAAAUUUGUUAACAUGCCAUGACAUACCUUUCCUGAUUGAAACUUCGAUAUGGCAUACUUUUAUCAGUGUGUAUAUCUUUUGUUGGUUGCUUCGUGUUCUUUCUGUGCCCUCGCGUGCCUUGAUUUUCAACAAGAAUUUGUGUCAGAUAGGGAGCUUUGUAUGGAUGAUUGCCUAGGGAUGUUUAUUUAGAAUCAGAGAUACUGUUGGUUUCGUGCUGCUAUUCCAGUAUUUAAGGUGCAUUUCCUUAAUAAUAAAGAAGAAUAACAAGAGUGAGGUUGUGUUGAAUUAACGGCUUGUAUGGUCUUAAUAUAAAACACACACUUUUUAUCAUGCAAAAUCCAGAUCUUCAGACUUGUAAUGGUAUAUACUUUUACAACACCAAAUACUUCUGCACUUUUGUGAUUCCUAGCACGGAUUGGGGCGAAACAUGAGCUACCAUUAACUACCUCGAUAGAAAGAUCAACUGUUCAACUCCGGUUUGAAAUCCGUGAGUGAAUCUUCCGUGGCUUCUUCUACAAAUGAGUGUUCCGUUUUCCUUUCCGUUUGCCGGUUAAACUAAGGGGAAGACCAUUAAGGCUCAUGAUAUAAUCAGUUCAUCAUAUGCAUGAAAAUACUCACAGACAAAAAGACCAACAUUCCUUCGUCAAAUUCUGCAGUUAUGUGUAUUUCCUGAUGCCUACAGUUUCUGAAUUCUGGGACAUGGUUCCACAGUUUAUAUGUUCUAUUAACAUGUUUAUAUACCUGAAUCAGCUAAUAUACAUUGAUCGGCGUGUAGUUUGUAUUGUCCACCAAACAAGGAAAAAUGCAAACCCCCAGCUUGGGGUGCACAAAAACCGUCUGCCACUUCUGUUUCCGAAUCAGCAUCACUUCCUGAAUCUUCCCUCCGUAUUAGCCAUAUCGUCAGCGUGUAUGCUCCAUAUCCCCAUCAGAAAGGCUUCCCUGUCAGCUCCUCAACACAAAUACCCCCCUGGCAGAUCAGCAGAGUUAUUAGCACCCAGUUUAUUAUCAGGAACAGGGUUGGUUUGACAACUGAACACAGAGCUAUCAGAUAGUUUAAUACUAGUACUUCAAGGAGGAAUAGCUUUGCCCUUGAAAUGGCUAUAAAAAAAAUCACUAGAAAGCAGUGUGAUUUGCUGAGAGACGGAGAGGGCGAAAGUUACCUUGCUGAACAACGCUCUAUCACAUCUUGAAGCUUGAUUUUGUUCAAACUGCAAAUCCAGCUAACCAAAGCAGACUUUUCAUCACUUUCCCCUGCAUCUGUCAGUGAAGUCAUAUGCAUCAGCAAACAACAUGGUUGUGGUAACUGGUAAGCAAUCAACGACAGGGAAGGCAUGGACAAACAAAAGACUACCAGUUACUGAGGGCAUCUCCAGCCGCGUCUCCAGGAAGGCCUCCCCAGGCGAUUUUUUCGCACUGGCGCCAAAAAAACGGCCCAGUCGCGCACCCAGGAGCCCGAUUUUCGCCGGCCUGGGCCGAAAACAGCGCCGGCGGACCCAGGCCGAACCCGGCGCGCUGGGGGGCGUCCGGGCGAACUAUUUUGGCGCGAAACAGCCGCGGGCCCGCCGCGUCAGCGACACGGCGCAUCGUCUUCCCCCAACGGCCUCGGUUCCCGCGGGGAAUCAAUGCCAAGGCUGCCGCCGGUCAGCCUUGCCAUUGAUUCCUCACGGGCGGCGCGUCACGGGACGGCGCGCCGACGCCUCCCCUCCCUCGCAUGCGUACACACGGGUGCGGCGCGGCUAUAUAGCCGGUGGCCUGCACUCGCCUGUGCCCACACCAGCCCCGCCCCUCGCCGCCGCCCAGCUCCUCCCUCUCCCUACCUCUCCCGAGCGCCGCCGCCCAGCCCCUCCCUCUAUCUCUCUACCUCUCCCGAGCCCGUCGCCAUGGCGGAACGCUACCCCGGAGACGAGGCGGCAGCCAACGGCUUCGGCCGCCGUCGCGGAGUCCUGGCUCCUGUUCCAGGCGAACAUCCCGGCGCCGCCGGACAUGCGCGCCGGGCCGACGGGGUGGAGGCUCAGCGCCGGGGGAGUGCCCAUUCCCCCGUUGCCCGACGACGUGGCGAAGCCGAAGUACUUCGCCGAGGAAGUCGAGGUCGUGCGCGCCUCCCUCACCGACGCCCAACUCUCCCUCCCCCAGUACGCCGCCGACAACCACGCGGCUUGGGCGGCGUAUUUCGAGCGCCGCCAGCAGCAGCGCUUGGCGUCCAUCAACGGCGCGCCGGUGGUUGGCGGCCGGCAGAAUAGCGAGGGGCGCCACCUGUGGUGGGGCGUCCCCGGCCGCACACUCAAGGGCGUGCUGACGUACCUCGAGGGCGGCAACGACCCGCCGUUGGCGUACCCGGCGAGGGCGGCCGCCCCGGCGCAGCACCGACGCGCCGGGCCAUGGGCGCCAAGGAGGUUCGGGUCCUCCUCCUCUUCUUCCUCCUCCCGAUCUUCAUCGCACUCCCCCGGCACUCCGGCCCUGCUCGGCGUCAAGGCCGAGCCCGCGACGGAGACGCCGCUCGGCCGACGCACUCUCAGCGCCGGCAUCGUCAUCAACGAGGGCGGUCGGCGCGCCUACUCGUCGGCUCCUCCUCCGCGCUUCGUCAAGCCAAAGACGGAGCCGGGGCUCGCGCCGGUGAAGACGGAGCCGGGGCUCGCGCCAGUGAAGAAGGAGCCGGCCGCGCCGGUGACGACGGAGCUCGACGACGACGACGCGGCCCUGGAAUGGGCGCGCAGGGACUCCAUAGCGAUGGAGAAGAAGCGCCUGGAGAAGGCGAAGGAGCGCCAGCGCGCCGCCCUGCUUCGCUUCGCGGAGCGUCGACGCGGCCGCGACGAAGGCGGAGUCGUCGUCAUCUGCGACAGCGACGACGACGACGAUGAUGCGCCGCCACCAGUCCGCCAUGGCGACGCCGGGCAGGGGUCCAGCAGGGGCGCCCGCGUCAAGGAGGAGAAGGCCGACGACGACGAUGGCGGCGACGGCGGCGACUUCAGCCAGUUUUUCCUUUAGAUUAGUUUAUGUAUAUGUGAUAUGUAAUGAAAAUCCGCGAACUUCGCCGAAAUUUAUCGUGGUUGGCCGAAAUUUAUCGUGUUUGGCCGAAUUUUAUCAUGUUUAAGCCGAACUUCGCCGAACUUCUUUUAUUUUAAAACGUGCCUAGGGGCGGCCCUGGGGCCGGCGGCUGGGGACCAACUCGCCUCCAGGCCUAAUUUUUGCGCCGGCUCACCCCAGGCGGCGAUUUUAGGCGCCCCUGGGGGGCCAACGGCUGGAGAUGCCCUGAGACCCCAACCAAAGACAUGCCAGGCGUGAGAUGGUGUUCUGGGAGCUGCAAGGCAAAGCAACAUACUAUGAAAUACUCCACGUAGGCCAGAGUGUGGCAUGAUGUAACACACGUCUCAAGGUUCUUUGCGGGUAUGGAUGGUUUAAGAAAAUAAAACAGUGCCAACAGAGGCCAUGCAAUCGAAGGGGCACAUCACCAUUUUACUCAUUUUGAGGUAUUUCAGGAAAAGCGAUAUGCUGAACAUAAUGGACCAGGAACUCAAUUAUAUAUACAGUACCUUGUAGCAUUGGAUGUAAUUUGUUUGACUGAAUGCAUUUCGCGGCACGAGCUUCCCAUGUCCGUUUUCAGCCAGGGAAAGUAGCCAUGGUAGACUCAUAUCUCUGAAUCUGACACAAGUAUAAAUAAACAGUUCAAAGAUAAUUUCGUCAGUACUUAGGUUGUUGGUAAAGGGUCUAUCCAAAUUGUGAAUACACAAACCACAGACAUCACAAAACGGUGUCAAAGAGGAUAGUUCAAAAUGUUAGGCUGACUUGAAUUCAAGAAUCAAGAACAGUUUAAAGUGAAAAGUGACACCAGUUACGAGCUCAGUCACAAAAGCAUGGGUUCCCAACUACCUGCUGUCAUAUCUUUCAAGUGUAAGCUUCAGUUGUUCCAGAGCAUAUCGCUUGAUUUUCGCACCAAGAAUCUUCCAUGUUAAGAUGGUAAAAUGUUAUAUCACAAAUUCACAAUUACCCGGAAGGAUGGUAGAUAAAAUAGAUGAAACAAAAUUAGAUGGCAUACCAGCUUUACAGAAAUAUUGCAUGUUGAAUCAACUAUCGAGAAAGCCCUAAGGAAGUCAGCACCAAGGUCUCCACCAGACAAAAAAAUUGCCUAAGACAGUCACACACAACAAUUGUCAGCAAUCUGUUACUUAGCAGUUGUUAGGUCUUUUGUUUUUUAGCUUUUUCCGCAUCAUACUUUGAAGUAGCAACAUGGCAACUAUACGGUGUGCCCUUUUAGUUUACUAGUGCAUAAACGGUAAACCGAUAGACCAAGUGCUAAGCUUUGCAGGGUAACUGAAUAAGUACAGCUCAGCCGUGAAGCACUAUUCGAUUCUUAGCCAUAAGAGUGGGCAGGUUGAAAGUGUGUAGUGUAGAUAUAGUUACUUUCAUUGAACACAAACAUGGCAAAAAAAUACACAAUACUACUUCCCAUUAUAACCAAAUUGAGUACUGCCAUCUUAUUCUAGAUGCCCCGAUUAUAGUACCGGUGUGGCUACCCUAGAAAUGUAAUAUCCUCUGUGCGUGAUCCAUGACUCCAUAUAUGUGCCAAAAUGUGAAGGUAACCACUGCAGCUACAUAUUAGGAUACAAAAUACUAUUGGGCCCUUUAGCUCUUAUCAUCUUCAAACUAAUUCCCUACAUUUUUCGCAAUUUGUUUUUAGGAAAGUUCACUACAGCAGCUGACAAAAUAUCUGUAACAGAACACAAUAUUUAUACCAUGAUCUGAAUAUCAUAUUGAUUCUAAAACUACAGAAUUCAAUGGGUACAGUUCCAGUUCUAGUUCACUAACAUUAUCCAUAUUUGCAUUGGUAUAUGUAAUUAAGAAGAUCAGAAUUGCAUAUAUAGCAUGCAUACAAUUUAUACCGACUUGAUAAUUUAUUCAAUUAUUAAGGGCAGCAACCAGCUAUCGCACUGAAAUGCAAUCAUCCUAAUAACAUCAACCCCACGAUGAACGCUAGCUGCAUUCUGACUUAUCACACAAACGGGAAACCAAUAAGUUGAAGACUCACUGCCAUUGAUCGAACGACAAUGCAUAUCUCUGGUUCCUGCUGGUACUUGCAGAUAUGAUAAUAGCAGAAACAUUGCAGUUAGGAUACCUGAAGCUGUAGGUCCGAAGGGACGCCUCUUCUGAUGAGCAGAGGGUUACCACCCCCGCCCUGGCCAUCGCCGUCGUUGAUCUCUUGUCCCAGCACUUCGCCGAGGGCGUCCAGGAGUCCUCUGCCUUCUGCGCCGUGCAUCCCGCCCCCUUCCCCAGGAUCGGGCCCACCAAUGUCGUCGCCGCCGCCGACAUUCCAGCCGCGGGCGCGGCGCCAGAACAAGUACAGGAGAAAAGCUGCGACCAAGCCCAUGGCGGCGAACUUCCCGCAGGUGAACACGGACGAGUUUCUCCAUGCGCGAAGCACCGCCUCUGGCGGAGCUGUCGGGGAUGGAGGCGGAGUGGGCACCGGAGGUGGAGGCGGAGGAGGUGUCGGGGAUGGAUGCAACGACCUGGGCCAGGCCCGCCCGUGUGUUAUUGGGCCUGUGUGGCUCAGUCCGUGUGGCGUGGGUGGAUUAGGCUUAUAAGCGUGUGGCUGGCGUGUGUGGGAGGCAUCGAACUGUAAUCACAACUAUUGUUUCUUAUUCAAGCUUUCCUCCCUGCUCUUUUCCCCUUCUCCAAGUCCUCUCUCUCUCUCUGAGAUAUUCUCUUUGGUUCGAGAUCCAAAUCCCGGCGAGACGCAGGGAGGUGCUACGGGAUCGUAGCAUUUGGUACUCAGAGCCGUGUAUCGAUCCGCUUCAUCUGAUCUGAAAUUUUUCAUCCAGAGCUCACAAUCAAUCCUUCGAUCGGCUUGUAAUUCCUAGCAAAAGGUGCAGAUCCCCUCGGGUGAUCUCGCGCAAAACACCUCCGGUGUACCUGCGCUGGGUUGAGUAGAUCCAGGACCUUCCCAACGGCGUGUUCGACCAAGCCCAAUCUCUCGUCGCGUAUGGCCGCCGCGGAGCUCACCAUCGCCGAGCUGCAGCAGCUCGUCCAGGCAAUGAUUGUGCAGAGCAAGGCGGUGUCGGAGGCGGGCACGAAGACGGCAGAACGUCUGGAUGGGCUGCAGGAGUCCCUCGACAAGUACGCUUCCUCCUCGGCCAAGGCCUUCGAUGCGCUGGCCACGACGACCACGAGCUCGCUGGCCUGCACCGAGUCGACGCUGGGGCGGGUGCUCGUCGCGCACAACUCCCUCGAUGCGGCUGUGGCCGAGAUGCGGAAGUCGCUGGACGGGAUCGUACACCGCGUCGACAAUUUGGAGCAGCCUACAGGCACGACAACAGCUCAAGGCCGGCGGACAGAGCCGCCACAAACAUAGCGACAGAGCUCUGAUCAGCACCAUUCAGGACAGGACACUCGAGGUCUGCGCGUGUCAUUCCAGCAGAGGAAUCGAGGUGAGCAGUCUAGAUCGCACGCUCGUUUCCCUGACGAGUUAUCUGAUGACAAUGACGAUUAUGAGAGAUCACCGCAGUCGCAGUUUCACUCUGCCCCUGGGAAAUUCUCCGCACGCAUUCCUCGCUCUGAUUUCCCCAGAUUUGAGGGAGAUAACCCCAAGUGGUGGAAAAAACAGUGUGAAAAAUACUUCCGGAUGUACAAUGUUCAAUCAGAAUUAUGGGUCAAUUUCGCUACUAUGCACUUUGCAGGAAAUGCAGCCCUCUGGUUGCAGACGUAUGAAGCAAUGCACACUAUUGAUAGCUGGGCCGCUCUGUGUGUGGCCGUGUUCGCUAAAUUCAACAGGAACAAGUAUUCUCGAGUAAUUGAUGUGUUCUUCUCGCUCAAGCAAACCGAGUCUGUCGAUGAUUAUGCUCAUGCGUUUGAAGAGCACAUGCACAAGAUGCUUGUGUAUAACCACUCCUAUGAUGAAACCUUUUUCAUCAACAGGUUCAUUGAGGGCCUGAAACCUGCUAUCCGGGCGCCGAUCAAGCUGCAACAACCUAAUUCAGUGGAUCUAGCUUACUCCUUGGCACAGACACAAGAAGCAUUGUUGGCUGAAGAUACCUCCAAAUACAGCAAAAGAUGGGAAAACAGAGCCAAUGCCAAAAAUUAUGUGCAUCAGGGCAUUAUGGGAACAACACCAGCACAAGAUAAACCCCCGGAAACACAUCAAAGAGCUCCAGAUCGAGUGGAUAACCUCAGGGCACAACGCCGAGCGCGUGGAGAAUGUUUCAAGUGCGGGGAGAAAUACGGUCCAGGACACAAGUGCCCCACAACAGUCCAACUUCACGUACUGGAAGAACUGAUCGAGGCUCUACAGAUGUCUGAAAUUUCUGAAAGUGAAUCUGAAACUGAACAGCCAGCCGAACAGCCUGUGGUCGAUAAAGCAACAGCAGAAGAAGCAUUCAUGAAACUGUCAGUCCAAUGCAGCCCAGGGCACUGCUUCAAAGGAUAGUAUCCGAUUACAGGGCAUGGUUGGUAAGAGACAAGUGUUGAUCUUAGUUGACUCAGGUAGUUCCACAAAUUUCAUCAGUGCAGAGCUAGUGAAACACCUACAGUGCCCAGUGGAAGAAAUACCAGUGGCUAAAGUUAUUGUGGCUGAUGGAGGAUUGUUACAUUGCAAUAAACAGGUUCCUAACUUGCAAUGGUUUUGUCAAGGAAACACCUUCAAUACAUCUCUAAAAGUGCUACCCCUGGGCACUUAUGACAUCAUCUUGGGCAUGCAGUGGCUAGAAACUAUGAGCCCUAUGUGGGUGGACUGGAGAAAGAAGGUCAUGAGAUUCAAAUAUCAAGGAGUUAGGAUCACUCUAAGAGGAAUAAGAGAGAAAGUCAUUUCCUGCACAGGCAUAACUAGCAAGCAUUUGCAAGGGUUACUUAACACUGGUGCAGUGGAGCAAGUGAUUCAACUAAAUCAUAUUGUGGAAGCCCCUGAUACUGAUCAAUUCAUCCCUCCUGCAGUGCAAGAAAUUUUGGCCAAGCACAAACAAGUCUUCACAGAACCUGACAAGCUCCCUCCCCACAGGUCCUUUGAUCACCAAAUCCCUCUUCUACCUGGAGCUAAACCUAUCAAUGUGAAACCACACAGAUACAAUCCAAGCAGAAGACUGAAAUUGAACAACAAGUAACUCAGAUGUUACAGCAAGGAGUCAUCCAGGAGAGCACUAGUCCUUUUGCUUCUCCAGUGUUGUUGGUCAGGAAGAAAGAUGGAACUUGGCGUUUUUGUGUGGACUACAGAAUGUUAAACUCUGUCACAGUGCCCCAUAAAUAUCCAAUGCCAGUAGUGGAUGAGUUACUUGAUGAGUUGGCUGGUGCUACAUUUUUCACUAAGCUGGAUCUUCGAUCAGGAUAUCAUCAAAUACGAGUGGUUGAAGGAGAGGAACAUAAAACAGCUUUUAAAACUCAUCAUGGCUUGUAUGAGUUUAAGGUCAUGCCCUUUGGUUUAAUCAAUGCCCCUGCAACUUUCCAAGCGGCUAUGAAUGCCCUGUUUGCCCAUUUGUUGAGACAUUGUGUGCUUAUCUUCAUGGAUGACAUCUUAAUCUACAGCCCAGACUUGAAAACACAUCUUGAGCACCUCAAUCAGGUUUUCACUAUACUUCAAGAAAAUCAGCUCUUUGUGAAAUUUAGCAAAUGUUCUUUUGCUCAAACAGAGCUGGAAUACUUGGGACAUAUUAUCAGUGGCAAAGGAGUGCAAACUGAUCCUACUAAGAUCAGAGCUGUGCAGCAGUGGCCCAGGCCUACCUGUGUUAGAGAUAUCAGAGGAUUUCUGGGUCUCACAGGGUACUACAGAAAAUUCAUCAAAAAUUAUGGAAUUAUUAGUAGGAGUUUAUUUGAUUUACUGAAGAAAGAUAUUGUGUUUUCGUGGACACCAACCAAUGAAGCUGCUUUUCAACAUCUUAAGACAGCAUUAGCUCAAGCACCAGUUUUGGCACUCCCAGAUUUCAAGAAGCAUUUCACAAUUGAAACUGAUGCCAGUAAUCAAGGCAUUGGGGCUGUACUGGUGCAAGAAGGUCAUCCUCUUGCUUACCUUAGCAAAGCCCUGGGACCCAAAGCCCAAGCCCUGUCCACAUAUGAAAAAGAGUGCUUGGCUGUGCUCCUUGCUGUGGAAAAAUGGAAAUCUUAUCUGCAGCAUGCUUCUUUCACUAUUUCCACAGAUCAUCAAAGCUUGACACAUCUUCAAGAGCAAAAACUCAGUGGUACCAUGCAACAGAAAGCAUUUCUUAAACUGCUAGGUCUGCAAUACAACAUCAUCUACAGGAAAGGUAUGGAUAAUGCAGCUGCAGAUGCCUUAUCCAGAUCUCCUGCCCCAAUGGAGUUGUCUGCUAUCUCCUUUUGCACACCCAAAUGGUUAGCUGUUAUGACAGAAGGAUACCAGCAGUACGAGGCAGAUAGGGAAUUACUGCAAGAACUGGCCCUGACUGGUUCCAGUGACAAAUGUUAUACUCUACAUCAAGGAGUGAUAAGGUACAAAGACAGGAUUUGGUUGGGCCACAAUAAAGAAGCUCACCAAGCUAUUAUGCUUUCUUUGCAUGACAGUGGAGUUGGAGGUCAUUCUGGAUCCAGGGCACUUACCAACGCAUCAAGGGAUUGUUUGCUUGGCCAGCAUUGAAACAGGAUAUCCAAGCCUAUGUACAAGCUUGUGUGGUGUGUAAACAAGCAAAGUCUGAGCAUAUUAAGAAACCAGGACUAUUAAGUCCAUUGCCCAUUCCUAAAGAAGCCUGGAAUAUGGUCAGCAUGGAUUUUAUUGGAGGUCUCCCCAAGAGCAAAAACUUUGACACAAUCCUGGUGGUUAUCGACAAGUUCAGCAAAUAUGGGCACUUCAUUCCCUUAUGUCAUCCCUUUACUGCUCUACAAGUCGCACAGAUAUAUGUGGAUAACAUCUAUAAGCUUCAUGGUCUUCCCCAGGUCCUGGUUACUGACAGAGAUCCUAUAUUUACCAGCAAUAUCUGGCAAGAAUUGUGCAAACUCACUGACACCAAGAUGAAUAUGAGUUCUGCUAAUCAUCCCCAGACCGAUGGUCAAACGGAGAAACUGAAUCAAUGCUUAGAAACUUUUCUCAGAUGCUUGGUACAUUCAACUCCCAAAAAGUGGGCUUAUUGGUUAUCUCAGGCUGAGUACUGGUACAAUACAAACUACCACUCUGCACUUGGAACAACCCCAUUUCAGGUACUGUAUGGGUAUCAACCUCGACACUUGGGCAUUGCCAAUCUUCAGAGUACUCUGUCCUCUGAUCUGUCUGGAUGGUUGGCUGAAAGGAACCUGAUGCAAGGAUUGAUCCGAGAACACCUGUUGCGAGCUCAACACAGGAUGAAACAUCAGGAAGACACUAAUCGAUCGGAUCGACAGUUUCAAGUUGGCGACUGGGCAUUUCUGAAGCUGCAGCCUUAUGUGCAACAAACUGUUGUCAGACGUUCCAACCACAAGUUGGGUUUCAAGUAUUUUGGUCCGUAUCAGAUCACUGAACGUGUCGGCGAGGUUGCAUUUCGUUUGGCCCUGCCAGAGACUAGCAAGAUUCACCCCGUGGUGCAUGUUUCGUUGCUCAAACCGGCAGACCCGCCAACUCCUACUUCAGACACUAUGGAUUCUCUAUUUCUGCUGGGGGAUAAACUGUCCAAACCGGCUCAAAUUCUUCAAACAAGGUUGGUUCGUGUGGGUGGACACACACGCACGCAAUGGAAGAUUGCAUGGCGUGGACUCCCAAUUACAAUGGCGACUUGGGAAUGGUCUUCAGCUGUGACUGCAACGACAACGGCCGGUUGAUGAACAGUCGAGGACGAGCUGUUCCUUAAGAGGAGGGGAGUGCAACGACCUGGGCCAGGCCCGCCCGUGUGUUAUUGGGCCUGUGUGGCUCAGCCCGUGUGGCGUGGGUGGAUUAGGCUUAUAAGCGUGUGGCUGGCGUGUGUGGGAGGCAUCGAAUUGUAAUCACAACUAUUGUUUCUUAUUCAAGCUUUCCUCCCUGCUCUUUUCCCCUUCUCCAAGUCCUCUCUCUCUCUGAGAUAUUCUCCUUGGUUCGAGAUCCAAAUCCCGGCGAGACGCAAGGAGGUGCUACGGGAUCGUAGCAAUGGAGGCGGAGGAGGUGGAGUGGGAACCGGAGGUGGCGGGGGUGGCGCGGGGUCUGCCACAAGAGUCGCGGGGGGCAGAUUGAGGGUCAGGAACUCAUACCCUAGGGCCUCGCCGUCGUCGACGAUGACCAGCGGCGGCGCGGGCUCCGCUGGACCCGGCCGCGCCGCCCUCAGGCGCUCGACGCGCCUCUUGUUGAGGAACGCGUCGUUCCAUAAGCCCUCGAUCGCCUUCCACCCGCUCCUAUGCCGCCAUAGUUCCUCCAUGAGCUUCCGGCCGGGCGGCAUGGUUGCUGGGCUCUAGGGUUGGAGGAGCGGGAGGGGCGGGGAAAGGCUGCCGGAAGCGAAGAGGAAAGGAAAUGGAGGGAGAGGGAGAGAGGGUCGCGCGGGGGAGGGAGGCGGUUUUGGCUGGGGUUUUCGUGGGCCCUCCGCGCCAGCUGUCUCUCUCGAGCGAAUGAGCGGGCGGGCCGGACGUUAGGCGCCGUCACUGUUACAGACCUGCCGUCUGCAUGCGUACCGUUGGUCGCGCCCAUGUACGAAGCUUGCACCGCAUCUGACCUCACGGGGUCACUGACGGCGUAUGCACGACCUCUGACGGCUUUCGUCGUCACUUUGGUAAACCAACGUAGCUCGUCAAGCUUGUCUAGUGAACGUUCGUCCGAAGGGGCGCAACAUAAUGCGAUCGAACUGGCAUCUUGCGCCACGAGCUUUAGUGAUGUGUUUAUUUUCCAAUGAUGAUAUGGGCAUGUUCACUUGUGCGUCGUUGUUAAUCCGCGGGCAUUGCAUCAACGUGGUUUAGAUUGACAUUUUCUUACUACAGUAAAGUGGCAGCAGGUGUAGGGACUGGCACGGACGCCAAGGCCUUGCGCUGCGCGGCGAGCCAGUAAAAAGGAAGGCGGUUCCGAAAAUCCAACUUUUCAUAACCGUCUUCCUUUUUACUAGAAGUGUUUAAUCCUUCAUUAGAAUGAAGUCACUUGCUUUUCUAUAAGUGUUUAAUCCUUCAUUAUCGAAUUACGUUUGUUGAAACUCACAUUUUGUCUAAGUUUCGUGUCAUUUUUCUAACGUAACCAUGUAUAAUAGCUCAGAGAGCAUUACGCAGCCUACUACCACCACUGAUCUGUUUGGGCGACUAAUCCCGAGCUCAUGUGAGCUCGGUUGAACAGUACAAAAAAAAUAUGAUUUCUUUUUUGUGAAACAUUGAGAAAUGUUUUGAUAGCUUGCAAAAUUUCAUCAUCAUAUGACAUUCGAGGAAAAUAUGGGGAAAAAACAAAAUCAAUGCUCCAAAAUGCAUUUGAAAAUAACGUUUUGGAGCAUCCAUUGUGUUUUUUAUUGCCACAUUUUUCACGAAUGUCAUAUAGUGAUGAUUUUUUUUUGCGGGGGAUAUAGUGAUGAGAUUUUGCAGUCUACAAAAACUUAUCUCAAUGUUUGACACACACAAAAAAUCAGAAAUUCUACUGUUCACCCAACUCGGGGAUCAGAACAACCGCUUCCUCUGUUUGGGGCCGUUUGUGAUCAGUGGCGUAGCCAGAAUUUUAAGUCAGGGUGGUCCAAAUGAUGAUUUUUACACAAAUAGAUUAAAGAAAAUGAUGAAGGUAUUGUAAGCAUAUCAAAAUUCAUAAAUAAGUCUGAUUUUUGUAAACGAGUCUAAAAUUUACUUAAAAGAAACUAGAACAUCUUAUAAUUUUAGGAAGUCCUUAAAGCACAAAACUUUAAAGUUUGCACUCUAGGCCAGUACUAUUAUCAACUAGUUCAAACAAUCAAACCUUGAAAGAGAAAACAUACUUUGAAGCAGUAUAUGCGCCGGGUGGUGCACCUGCAUUUUAGCAGCCUGACACACAUCCCCGGCCGCCGGCUGCGUCGGCGUCAGCGCCGCUUCGUCCGCCUGCCUCCCCGGCCGCCGCGUUGCGUCGGCGUCUGCGACGACACCGCUUCAUCCGCCUGCCUACCGCCUUGUAAUGCCCUCGAUGCGGCUAUAUCUCCUACGUGUCGAAGCACGACUUAGAGGCAUAACCGCAUUGAAAGCAAUGUCGCAAGUGAGGUAAUCUUCGCAAACAACCCAUGUAAUAUAAAUAAAAGGGGAAAAGAUACAUAGUUGGGUUAUACUCGCCACGUCACACAAAUACAUAAAUAAGUCAUUACAUUCAUCCAAUACACUCAUGGUCUGACUACGGUACCAAAAUAAAGAUCAACCCCCAAAUGCGACAAAGUCCCCGAUUGCCCCAACUGGGCACCACUACUGAUCAUCUGAGAAAGACACAUAAUAACGACGAGAGUCUUCAUCGAACUCCCACUUGAGCUCGGUCAUAUCAUCUGGAACGGUAUCAUCGGUCCCUGCAUCUGGUUUAGGAAGGAAUCUGUGAGUCACGGGGACUCAGCAAUCUCACAUCCUCGCGACCAAGACUAUUUAAGCUUAUAGGUCCGGUAAAGAUAUGAUGGUGGAGCUGCAGCAAGCGACUAGCAUAUAUGGUGGCUAACCUAUUCGCAAAAGAGAGCGAGAAAAGGAGGCAAAAGCACGAUCGAACAUCUAUGAUCAAGAAGUGAUCCUAGAACAACAUACGUCAAGCAUUACUCCAACACCGUGUUCACUUCCCGGACUCCGCUGAGAAGAGACCAUCACGGUUACAGACGCGGUUGGUGGAUUUUAAAUUAAGUUAAGUUUCAUGUUAUCUACAACCGGACAUUAACAAAUUCCCAUCUGCCCAUAAUCGCGGGCACGGCUUUCGAAAGUUCAAAAUCCCUGCAGGGGAGUCCAACUUAGCCCAUCACAAGCUCUCACGGUCAACGAAGGAUAUUCCUUCUCCCAAGACAAUCCGAUCAGGCUCGGCAUCCCGGUUACAAGACAUCCUCGACAAUGGUAAAACAAGUCCAGCAACACCGCCCGAAUGUGCCGACAAAUCCCGAUAGGAGCUGCACAUAUCUCGUUCUCAGGGCACACUCAGAUAAGCAAUCCGUACAACUAAAACCAGCCCUCGAGUUUCCCCGAAGUGGCGCUGCAAGGGGCUCUAGUUUGGACGAACACUCAGAGAAGCACUGGCCCGGGGGGUUUAAAUAAAGAUGACCCUUGGGCUCCGAAAACCCAAGGGAAAAAGAGGCUAGGUGGCAAAUGGUAAAAUUAAGGUUGGGCAUUGCUGGAGGAGUUUUAUUCAAGGCGAUCUGUCAAGGGGUUCCCAUUAUAAUCCAACCAUAUAAGGAACGCAAAAUCCGGGAUCAUAACACCGAUAUGAUGGAAACUAGGGCGGCAAGAGUGGAACAAAACACCAGGCAUAAGGCCGAGCCUUCCACCUUUUACCAAGUAUAUAGGUGCAUUAAGAUAAACAAGAUAAUAUUGUGAUAUCCCAACAAUAUACAAUGUUCCAACAAGGAACGAUCUCCAAUCUUCACCUGCAACUAGCAACGCUAUAAGAGGGGCUGAGCAAAGCGGUAACAUAGUCAAACAACGGUUUGCUAGGACAUGGUGGGUUAGAGGUUUGACAUGGCAAUUUGGGAGGCAUAAAAAGCAAGUGGUAGGUAUUGUAGCAUAGGCAUAGCAAAAGAGCGAGCAUCUAGCAAGCAAAGAUAGAAGUGAUUUCGAGGGUAUGGUCAUCUUGCCUGCAAAGUUUUCAGAGUUGCCUUGAUCCUCGUAAGCAAACUCAACGGGCUCCUCGUUCAUGAACUCGUCUCCCGGCUCUACCCAAACAAGAACAACAAGCAAAAUGAGCACAAUCAACCACGUGCAAUGCUCAAGCAACAUGAUGCAAACAUGGUAUGAUAUGCGGGAUGCGAUAUGUGAUGCAUAUGCAAGAUUUGACAAGGAAUGAUUGAACUUGGACUCAACUUGGAAAUCCAAGGGUGCCACUGGAAAGGUGAGGUGAUUUCGGUUGAAAUCGAUAUAAAGAUCACCGGAAUCGGAUGCACGGUUUGAAAAUGGCAAGCAAAACAAAUAUGGCACCGGUCUAUGAUAAUCAGCAAGUAGCCAUCUAAAUGCAUCAAGUAAAAUAUGCUACAACACUCAAACAUGACAACAAAAUACAUGGAAGGGAUCCACUCAUGAUGCUUGACAAAAGAUGAACACUGAGCUACGGCUAAUUCAUCCAUUAACAGGUUCAAACAAGCAUGGCAAAAGUGCAAAUGAUAACAGGUUUCACACUUAGUGAAAUUAACACAAGUCUGGAAUUUAUCAUCGGGAAGCAAUCUUUAGAGCAUGAAAACUACAUGCUACAGGAACAUAUCAUGACAAAGCAAGGUAUGGCAUGAAGCUACUCAAAGCACUUAACAAAAUUCCCUUAGUGACCUUGAGCCAAAAGGGAUCAGAAAAUACAAUUGCAAGCAUGUGAACAUAGAAAAGACAUAAACAGAUUCAGACUUAGUGAAAAACUGGAGCAUGCAAAACAGUUAACGAGUAGGCAUGUUUACGAGCUCGAUGCACUCACUACAGAGCAUGACAUGACAAACUAAGUAUACACCCAUCAAGAAGACAUGGCAUAGAAGCUAUACAUGUCAAGAACAACAACAUAGCAUGCACGGAUCAAUAGCAACAUCCUCGGCAAAAUCGCUAAACAUGUCAACAAUCUGCCAGGAUCAUUUUAUAGCAAAAGUAGAGCUCGAUUGACUCAAGCUAGGGUGCUCCAUAAUUGCAAAUAAAGACAUGGAUGGAUAGAGCACCACAAUGUUAACAAAAUAUCCUUACUGAUCAUCCUCAAAAGAGGCACGGAUCACUAGGAAACAACAUGGACAUAUGGCAUAACAACAAAAUCAGGACAAGGACUUAGAGAAAUUCUAAGUCCCUGAAAUCAGCAUCAACGAUUACGCUACUUUGCAAGCUUGUGCUAGUCACCACAAAGAGCACAAAAAUACAUGGCAUACACCCCUGCAAAGAUGGCAUGGCAUAUAACAAAACACAUGUAGAGCUCAGGAUCAUAGCAUGCACACAUUAAUCAUGGCAAAAAGACAAAAGACUAUUUGCUGAAACAGAUCUGCAACUUUCCUCACAUAGUCCUCUUCCAACAAUAUUUCAGGCAUCAAGAUGAGCUCAAAUGAAAAUAAUGCAAUGAGAUGAAAUGAUGUACUCGUCCAGGCGAACAUUUUGAUAUACUACACGCACGAAUCGGAGCUACGGAUGCAGAGUUAUGGCAUGAUGAAGAUUGCAAAAAAUUAGGGCAAACGAGGGAAAAAGUCAACCGAGGUAAGUUUCAGAUCUAGGGUUCCUCCGCGGGCACGCAAUCCGAGGAGCUCCGGCGAGAAACUUCUGCUCCGGCGAGGUAGAAGCUCCGAUCCGGCGAGAGGAGACGGCGGCGCGGCCCUCGGGCACUGCGGGGCGCCGCGGCGGCGCCGGCGAGGCAGGUGCGACGAGGUGGCGAGGAGGGGNNNNNNNNNNNNNNNNNNNNNNNNNNNNNNNNNNNNNNNNNNNNNNNNNNNNNNNNNNNNNNNNNNNNNNNNNNNNNNNNNNNNNNNNNNNNNNNNNNNNNNNNNNNNNNNNNNNNNNNNNNNNNNNNNNNNNNNNNNNNNNNNNNNNNNNNNNNNNNNNNNNNNNNNNNNNNNNNNNNNNNNNNNNNNNNNNNNNNNNNNNNNNNNNNNNNNNNNNNNNNNNNNNNNNNNNNNNNNNNNNNNNNNNNNNNNNNNNNNNNNNNNNNNNNNNNNNNNNNNNNNNNNNNNNNNNNNNNNNNNNNNNNNNNNNNNNNNNNNNNNNNNNNNNNNNNNNNNNNNNNNNNNNNNNNNNNNNNNNNNNNNNNNNNNNNNNNNNNNNNNNNNNNNNNNNNNNNNNNNNNNNNNNNNNNNNNNNNNNNNNNNNNNNNNNNNNNNNNNNNNNNNNNNNNNNNNNNNNNNNNNNNNNNNNNNNNNNNNNNNNNNNNNNNNNNNNNNNNNNNNNNNNNNNNNNNNNNNNNNNNNNNNNNNNNNNNNNNNNNNNNNNNNNNNNNNNNNNNNNNNNNNNNNNNNNNNNNNNNNNNNNNNNNNNNNNNNNNNNNNNNNNNNNNNNNNNNNNNNNNNNNNNNNNNNNNNNNNNNNNNNNNNNNNNNNNNNNNNNNNNNNNAGGAAGACGGGCGGCGCAGGCGGAGGGAGACGACUCGGGCGGCGGUGGUGGUGGCCCGGGCCUCGGGGGCCCAGCGCGGGCUCGGCGGGCCUCUCGCGGGAGCGGCCGGCGGCGCCAUGUGGCGCUACGCCACUGGUGCGGGGCGGCGGCGCGAUCUCGUCCGCUCGGGAUGGACGUGUCCGGCGGCGGUGCGAGGAGAUUUUUAGGGUUUGGGGUUGGAGAGACCUGAAAUUUCGGAGGAGGGGCUAAUUUUAUAGGUAGAGGGAGUUAGGAAGCUCCAAAUGAGGUGCGGUUUUCGGCCACGCGAUCAUGAUCGAACGCUCUAGAUGAUGGAGAGGGUUUAGGUGGGUUUUGGGCCAGUUUGAAAAGGGUAUUGAGCUGCAACACACACGAGGCCUUUUCGGUCCCUCGGUUAACCGUUGGAGUAUCAAACGAAGUCCAAAUGGUACGAAACUUGACAGGCAGUCUACGGUAGUAAACCAAGACCGCAUGACAAGUCUCGGUCCAAUCCGCAAAUGUUUUACCCCCACACACGAAAAGAGAUAGAGAGGACCACUGGGUGACAUAGGAGCGCCAGAAUGCAAAACGGACAACGGGGAAAAUGCUCGGAUGCAUGAGACGAACACGUAUGCAAAUGCAAUGCACAUGAUGACAUGAUAUGAGAUGCAUGACAAAGAUAACAACACGCGAAGGCAAAAACCCGACAACGACGAAAUAAAAUAACUUAGGCCGGAAACAGCAAGAGUUGGAAUACAGAUAAGGUAAAUUACAUCCGGGGUGUUACACGCCUACUUCCACAGGCUGCAUUUGAACUAUUGGACUCCGCUUGCUGCUUCACUUGUCGCUAGAUGGUAGGGUUAAGAAGAUUUGGGAACGGCGAAAGAAGUCACAUUCGUUUGAGCCAAGAUUUGGGAACGAUCGGCGAUCAGAUCGGGAUUCAGAGACACCAGGAUCGUACGUACAAGGAAACAAUCACCCGCCUAUGUGCAGUUCGAGUUAUGUCUUCCUUGGGCUUAGGUAAUUGGGUUAUAAUUUUCUCUACGUUGAAGUAAAUGGGCUUGGGCUGUCAAAAUCCCACGGUGGUGGACCACCCUGGCCACCCUAUGGCUACGCCACUGUUUGUGAUAUCAAUUAUUUCCCAUGCGAACUUUCAGUCUUCUAUGCUUUGAGUCCUAUUGUCUCUGCAACUUCUACUAAUAUAUCUCUUUCAGUUACUAAUGAGUACAACAGAUUGUCUGAAGAAUUUAGUCGGGUGCGCAUUUUUUGCCAGGCUACGAAUACACCAAUUUCUUUCUCUCUCUCAUUUUAGAACGCUCAUGUACGUUACUUCUUAAUUCUACCGACUUUCUUUUCAAAUGGCAAGAUAGUCUCAAUUAUACGAGUUAAAUGCACAAAACCACCACAUUCGUAUCAUGGUUAGCGGAAAACCACCACUUUAUGAUUCAUGGCAAACUGCACCGCUCCAAAAUUCUGAUAGUGGCAAAAAACAUUGAGCAAAAGAUUGAGCUCGUUUUGACGUGGCAAAUCGGCCCCGUGGAGAGUCUGGAGACGGUGCAGGAGUAACGAGGUAAGAGGUCAAUACGAGACAUAUACUACUUAUAUAUACAGGCAUGUAUAACAUAAUCACUGAUACACAUACACUGUCACAUACAAGCAUGCAUAGUAUAUGAUAUUUUCUAAAAUAUACAAGCAUGUAGUAUAACAUAAUCACUAAUGCAAUGGCAUAUACCAUUUUUAUGUAGGAACAAAAUUAAAGGUAUUACAGAAAUAAAAUCAAGAAAUUCCGGUUAACAUAACAUUGAAAGCAUCUGAAUCAUCCAUAACAUGCCUAGCUUAAAUGAAAUAGUUAUAUUUUUUUUACAAAGAAGGGAUCUCACCAUCAUGGCGGGUGCCGCGACCGAAGAACUAGGCGGCACAUGCCAGGUCGUGACACCGACAUGACAUGCGAAGGGGACCUGGCUGUAGGGUAGACCAACCCCGUACCACCAUAACCAUGACAACCGGGCAUACAAUCGUGCACGAUGGCGCGAGGGGCCCGGCGUCCGAUGGCAGGGAGGAUUGCACUAAACCAGAAACGGCUAGACAAAGGCAACGGCGAGCGACCUGAUGACUCUAUUUUUUUACUCAUUUUAAAGCUCAUUUAUUGAAUAAUAACUCCUUAUAUCAUGUUUCAUCGAGUCAUUCAUACCAUUUGUAUGUCCAUUAUGCAUGAUUGUCUGCAUUCAUCUUAACAUGAGCAUUUUAUUUUUUGUUAAUUUGAGCUAUAUUAAAGAGCUAGUUCGACGAGCCGGUCCAUGUAACGGUUGUUUCUGGGUUUUCUUUUUAGAUUUUGGUCUUUAUUCUGUUUUUUGCAUAUUUUAUUUUUAUAUAUUUUUUGCAUUAUACGAUGAACAAUUUUAAAUAUAUGGUGAUUUUUUUACAUACACUGAACUUGUUUAUAAAACACACACUGAUCAAUUUUAUAAAAUACUCUUCUGUUUUAAUAAUUUUUCAAAAUAUGUAGCACCUAAAAAGUAAUAACCAGUUUUUUGGGUGAAACAAUGACUAAAACCGAAGAGAGAAAAACAUAAUUCCGCUCGCAGGGAAUGGGCCACCCUAUUUGCCCUGGCUUCAUCAAGACCUCAUCUAUUUGCCGCCUGCGGGUGGCAAAUAGGAGGUCCUCUCGGCUUUUUUUUUAGACAAAGAGGUCCUCUCGGCUGGCUCGUUGGUUACUUAGUUCUGUUCUUUUUACGAGCUCCUCCGUUGGCAUAAAAGAAAACGUACACAGAUUCGAAAACAGUUUAUGAAAUCAAAAAAUAUCCACAAUUUUUUAAAAAAAUAUUUCGGAUUUUUAAAUAUCCCGUGACCUAUUACAGUAUUUGCAAAUUUAGAAAAUGUUUGUGAACUGUUUUCAUGAUUUUUUUAUUUUGGAUUUAGAAAAUUUUCACUAAUUUAAUUUUUUUGUGACUCUAAAAAAUGUCAUCGGUUUUAAAAAAAUGUCCGCAGCUUUUAAAAGAUUCAUCAGUAUGAUAAAAAUGUUUGUGAAUUAGAAAACUGUUCAUGAAUUUUAAAAAUAAGCACAAAUUUUAAUAAAAUCAUGAAUUUUAAAAAUGUUCACGAUUUUUUUAAAUGUUCAUGAAUUUAAAAGUGAUCACAAUUUUGGUGAAUGCUCUUAAAUUUAGAAAAAGGAAAUAGGAAAGAAGUGGAAGAAGAAGAGAAGAACAAACAAAAAGAAAAAAAAUAGAAAAACAAAUAUAAAACCGGAAUACAUCAAAGAGAAACAACAAAACCGGUGUCGAAUGUCUAGAGCUUCCUAAAAUAGGUAAAGUUCCUAAAAUAAGAAAAGAAGCACCGGGGUACACAGACCGAACCAUUGGAGGAACAACACUUGCUACAUGUGUGCAUUUUGUAUGAGAACACCUAUAUUUUACAUGGAGAGUGUAAAAUUGCAUAUCCCCUAAGUUGACACACACAUAUUUGGUGAUUUAAGUGUCGUUGGCUGAGUUAACUUCCCUAAGAACAACUCUUAUCCAUCCCCAAAGUUAACUUUUUAAGGGGUGCUCCAUGAAGAGGCGUAUGCUCGAGUACUCUCAAUUCUCAAGGUGUGCUCGACCAAGCUGUAGGCGUGCGUGCUCAAGACAAAGGUGUUGGGUGUCAUGGUACGCCUUAUGGGUAUGAAGCUUGUGUCGAUUUUGGGGCCACAAUUGCCAUCUCUACCUCGCCAUUGACAUCGAUGCUUGAUGAUUUGCAAAGCUUGUAACCUACCACUACAUGGGAGAAAACCACCAGACUUAAAGGAGAUGAGAGUAUUGGGUUUAGAUAUCUAAAGGCCUUCAAUCAAGCAUCGUUUACAAGGCAGGCAUAGCGCCUACUUCAAUUUCCAAACAGUUUGUGUGCUAGAAUUAUGAAGGCUAAAUAUUUCCCUUGUGGGCGUCUGCUAGACACAACCUUCCAUCAAAUAUGUUGCCAACUUGGCAAGGCUUCUACAUGGCUUGUACUUGUUGAAGGAAGGUAUCAUUUGGAGAGAGAAAAAAUCUUGUGAGAAGGUUCAUAUUUGCAUAGAUAAAUUGGACCCCCCAUGAGUCCUCUUUGAAAUUUUAGGUAAAAGGAACAAAACUCUGUUGAUGUGGGUAUCUGAAUUGUUAUUGUGUCAUCCCCUGUGAUGGAAUGAAAACUCUAUUGGACACAUCUACCCUCAUGAUGUGGAGGCACACCUAAAUAUUCAUUUGUCAUCCACUGGAGGGGGUCAUUGUGUCUUGGAACGAGUUUUUCACUGUAAGAAGUGUGUACGAAAUGGCAAUGCAACACAGUAAUGGCAUGCAAUAUAGAUCAAUCUAGUAUGGCGCCACAUGGGGAUAGAAAUAUCUGGAACUUAAUUUGGCAAUCUCACACGCUUCAGAAAUUGAAAGCUUUUUCUUGGAGAGGGAUGACGAAUAGUCUUGAGGUGUAUGCUGGUAGAGUUCACCAUCAUUUGGUGUUAUUCUUACAUGUGGCAUAUUUUUUUUGACCUGUUACAUGUGGCAUAUAUGGUUGUGAAGAUAAGGAUGUUUUCCACACUCUUGUCAAAUGCCCCAAGGUACACACCCUUAGGUCUGAUCUUCGAGAAGUUUGGCCUCUUCCUAGUGAGGAUUUGUUUGCUAAUACUAGACUAGAGUGGUUGCUCCUUUUGCUAGAAAUUCUGAAUAUUGAUCAUAGAGCUAAGGUUUUGUUCAUGCUCCAGAGAUUGUGGCCUCCAAGAAACGACCUAAUAUUCGGUGAAGGUAAGGCACCUGUCCUAAAUUUUGUCACCUUUCUCCAAGAUUAUGUGGCUAGUUUCUUGGAUGUGGUAAUGUAGGAAAUCAAAAUGGCAAAGGUAAAUAAUCUAUGGGAACAGAUUAGUUUGCAUACACAAGCAUGAACAACCAUAGUUUGGAAAAGCCAUCAAGCUGGAUGUAGUGUGAUUAAUGUUGUCGUUGGCUUCGAUCCUUGCUCAGUCUCAGGAACUAUUUGCUAGGUGGUGACAGAGAUAUCUGGCAGGGUCUUGAAAUCAGCAGGAAUAUUGUCCCAAGUUGUUCCACCAUGGAAGAGGCAGAGCUUCAGGCGUGCAUCAUGGGGAUCCAUAUGGGUAUUGAUUUCUAUCCACCCUACAUUUUCAAAGCUCGCUGUCUUUACAUAUAUUAAGAAUUGCCUUAACUCCUCACAUAUGGGCAAAUUGUCUUACAUGAAUUUUGAACAUGAUGACGUUGGAUCCGUUGAAGAAGUCGAUGAAUUUCAAGAUUGUUCAUACUUAACAGAGAUACUAAUGUUAUAGCUCAUGGUUUAGCUCAGUUUAGUAAGAGUGGUUCUUGUAUGGGUAUGUGUGUGUGUUGGCAUGUGGUUCCUUCUUGCAUGUUGGAAUUGGCCAAGAGUGAUUGUAAAACCUUAUCCAAAAAGGUGCAUUGAAUGUCAUGAUGGUUGACAUGACAACCUUCAUCAUUGCAUAUCAGCUUUCAACCAUGAAGGAGCUUGUAUGAUUAUAAUUUUGAACAACGGCGCAGUUGUGGGGAAAGGAACACAUGAGAACCCUAUGGGCAUCACCCUCAGAGCGUAAGCUUCUAUUGUAGAACAUAACUUCACCCGAUGCAACUUUUUAUUAGAAAAGACCAUAUGUCUGGCUUCAGUGAAUUUAAGUCUUUAGAGGUUUACAACAUAGGUUCAUAAUGGUGGGAUCUCCCUGGGGUAGGCCCACACAAGGAUUCGGCCCAGCAGGCCUAAACGAACCGACUCCAUGCCAGGAGAUCACUUGGCUGGGCUGGUAUCGUGAAGCCCAUCUGGCUGAUUUGCACCACAGUGUCCAUCUGACUGGACAAGUACUGGGCAAUCAAAGCAGGCAUCUCUAACGACGCAUUCAAGGCAUCUUCAUUGCUACACAGUAAUUCAUGUAGUAAUCAUCAUCAUCAUGCCAUAAUUAUUACAACGUGGCUACAACCACUGCUCUUCAUCCUCAUCGGUUACAUAUAAGGAGAAGACCAAAAUAAGAUUUAAACAAGUUUUGCUAGGUAGAUUGACAAGUCCAGAUAGACACAUAAGCACAUCGGUGCUAGAAAUCAUUGUAACCACAUUGUUCAUACAAUAUCAAAGCAUAACCUGGGUAAAACCUCUCUCGAGUGAAAUCUCAUAACUAGAUCAUCCACGUGCACCUUGCCUAACCAAAAUUCCCCAAAUCAUGUGUAUUGCCAUGAAAUCCCCACAACGGUUCAAUGCAAAAAAACACAAAUCUGGCUCAAAGGCCAUGAAAGAACACAUACCUCGAUACAAACUCUGAGCAGUGUCCUCGGCUCGAUAGUUGCAGUACACACACCCCAACACCAAAUGAGCCUUUACUACGACGCACUUUAGUUUCCAAACCGCUCCUUGCUGAGCGCCACAACAUGGAGCCUAAGUCACCGAGAAAGAGCCUCAAGGGUCAAUGAGUAUUGGGUCUUGCUCGGCGGCCUCCAAAGCUGUAGAAAAAGAUAGCCUUUUUGUAUAGGCAACAUAUCUCAAGGUACUAAUGAUUCAUCAAGUAUCUUUCAUAUUAGCUCCCAAACGAUGCGUCAAAAUAAGAUGAUUGGUGCCCACUCAAAAUCCCAUUAAGACAAGUGUUAGCCAAACUAAGGACUUGAAUUUUUAUUUUAGUGAUCCAAGAUCAUAUUGAGUCCAUAGAUACGAGAUGCUAUCAAAAAGGAUAGAACUUGUUAAGUUGAGUUUCUUUCUCUAUGUGUUGAAAGAUCGAACUCAAAAGCCCUAAAAAUAGCCUUUGGUAUCUCCACUGUAUCUACCAUUUUUUGUACUUUUCCGCUUAGGACCAUACGAACUACUUUUUAGAUAUAGUCAUUGCAAACGAUAGAUGAGCUCCCGAAGACCUCCAUCUGAAACCUCUGGAGCGCUUGUGCACUCCUUUGCACACAUUACGGAUUUUCGAGCGAACUUGGUUGAAAUUGCUGAACGACAUCCAGUAGUGUGUGCUAAGUGAGUCAUUUGUCAGUCAAAGCCUCUAAACGACUUUAAGUCGGACCUUUCGAGCUUUUGAAAGUUUCCGCCUUUAGCGUUGUUUGGAGAUUACGAACUAAGGAGCUUCCUAGCUAUGAUAAAAAGGUGUGUGACGGUCAUAUUUCCGUUUCUGCCAAUUUAUACUCUCCCCUAUCCCACGAAUUGAUGUAGAGGUCGGGGUCUUCCCCUUCUUUAAAAGAAAAAGAAAACUAUCCUACCAGUUCACUGGAAGCAACACUCUUUCAAAUCAUAUUUUCUAAGAGAGGAUACUAAGAUACUUCAUGUGGGAAACUUUUGGUCUAUGAGUGUAUAUACGCCUUAUAUGGGAAAAUUAGUAAUUAAAUAAAAAGUCAAAUUCGGAACAUAUUUUUGAAUUAAAGUUGACCUUCCAUUGUACUUGUAAGAAAAAUUCCACAAAAAGAAAGAAAAUAUGCCGACUUCCUCUAAAAAACAAUAAUUCCAGCUAAAAAACAAUAGAUGUGACGAUGCUAUCAAAAAGGAUAGAAGUUGUUAGGCUGAGUUUCUCUCUCUAUGUGUUGAAAGAUUGAACUCAAAAGCCCUAAAAAUAGCCUUUGGUUUUUUCACUGUACGUACCAUUUGUUGUACUUUUCCGCUUAGGACCAUACGAACUACUUUUUAGAUAUAGUCAUUGCAAACCAUAGAUGAGCUCUUGAACACCUCCAUCCGGAACCUUUGGAGCGCUUGUGCACUCCUUUGCACACAGUACGGAUUUUCGAGCAGACUUGGUUGAAAUUGCCGAACGACAUCGAGUAGUGUGUGCUAAAUGAGUCAUUGGUCAGUCAAAGCCUCUAAACGACUUUAAGUCGGACCUUUCGAGCUUUUGAAAGUUUCCGCCUUUAGCGUUGUUUGGAGAUUACGAACUAAGGAGCUUCCUAGCUAUGAUAAAAAGGUGUGUGACGGUCAUAUUUCCGUUUCCGCCAAUUUAUACUCUCACCUAUCCCACGAAUUGAUGCAGAGGCCUGGGUCUUCCCCUUCUUCAAAAGAAAAAGGAAACUAUCCUACCGGUUCACUGGAAGCAACACUUUUUCAAAUCAUAUUUUCUAAGAGAGGAUACUAAGAUACUUCGUGUGGAAACUUUUGGUCCGUGAGUGUAUAUACCCCUUAUAUGGGAAAAUUAGUAAUUAAAUAAAAAGUCAAAUUCUGAACAUAUUUUUGAAAUAAAGUUGACCUUCCAUUGUACUUGUAAGAAAAAUUCCACAAAAAGAAAGAAAAUCUGCCGACUUCCUCUAAAAAACAAUAAUUCAAUAGAUACGACGAUGCUAUCAAAAUGGAUAGAAGUUGUUAGGCUGAGUUUCUCUCUCUAUGUGUCGAAAGAUUGAACUCAAAAGCCCUAAAAAUAGCCUUUGGUUUUUCCACUGUACCUACCAUUUUUUGUACUUUUCCGCUUAGGACCAUACGAACUACUCCCUCCAUUUCAAAAUAUAGUGCGCCUGCGCUUCCCGAGGUUCAACUUUGACCAUAAAUUUAACCAACGAGACCAACUGCGGCGGGAGAAAAAAAUAUAUAAUUGAAAACUUCUUUCGAAUACGAAUUCAUUGAUAUAAUUUUUGCUCCCGCUGCAAUCGGUCUUGGUAGUUAAAUUUACGGUCAAAGUUGAAGCACGUGUAUAGAGAAAGCACUACAUUGUGGAAUGGAGGGAGUACUUUUUAGAUAUAGUCAUUGCAAACCAUAGAUGAGCUCCCGAACACCUCCAUCCGGAACCUCUGGAGCGCUUGUGCACUCCUUUGCACACUGUACGGAUUUUCGAGCGGACUUGGUUGAAAUUGUCGAACGACAUCUAGUAGUGUGUGCUAAAUGAGUCAUUGGUCAGUCAAAGCCUCUAAACGACUUUAAGUCGGACCUUUCGAGCUUUUGAAAGUUUCCGCCUUUAGCGUUGUUUGGAGAUUACGAACUAAGGAGCUUCCUAGCUAUGAUAAAAAGGUGUGUGACGGUCAUAUUUCCGUUUCCGCCAAUUUAUACUCUCACCUAUCUCAUGAAUUGAUGCAGAGGCCGGGGUCUUCCCCUUCCUCAAAAGAAAAAGAAAACUAUCCUACCAGUUCACUGGAAGCAACACUCUUUCAAAUCAUAUUUUCUAAGAGAGGAUACUAAGAUACUUCAUGUGGGAAAUUUGUGGUCUAUGAGUGUAUAUACCCCUUAUAUGGGAAAAUUAGUAAUUAAAUAAAAAAGUCAAAUUCUGAACAUAUUUUUGAAAUAAAGUUGACAUUCCAUUGUAUUUGUGAGAAAAAUUCCACAAAAAGAAAGAAAAGCUGCCGACUUCCGCUAAAAAACAAUAAUUCCGGCUAAAAAACAAUAGAUACGACGAUGCUAUCAAAAAGGAUAGAAGUUUUUAAGCUGAGUUUCUUUCUCUGUGUGUUAAAAGAUCGAACUCAAAAGCCCUAAAAAUAGCUUUUGGUUUUUCCACUGUACCUACCAUUUUUUAUACUUUUCCGCUUAGGACCAUAUGAACUACUUUUAUAGUCGUUGCAAACCAUAGAUGAGCUCCCGAACACCUCCAUCCGGAACCUCUGGAGCGCUUGUGCACUCCUUUGCACACAGUACGAAUUUUCGAGCGGACUUAGUUGAAAUUACCGAACGACAUCCAAUAGUGUGUGCUAAGUGAGUCAUUGGUUAGUCAAAUGCUCUAAACAACUUUAGGUUGGACCUUUCGAGCUUUUGAAAGUUUCCGCCUUUAGCGUUGUUUGGAGAUUACGAACUAAACCUCUGGAGCUUCCUAGUUAUGAUAAAAAAAAGUGUGUAACAGUCAUAUUUCCGUUUCCGCCAAUUUAUACUCUCACCUAUCCCACGAAUUGAUGGAGAGGCCGGGGUCUUUCCCUUUCUCGAAAGAAAAAGAAAACUAUCCUACCAGUUCAAUGGAAGCAACACUCUUUCAAAUCAUAUUUUGUAAGAAAGGAUACUCAGAUCCUUCAUGAGGUGAACUUUUGAUCUAUGUACAGGAAAAAGUAGUAAUUAAAUAAAAAGUCAAAUUCUGAAAGAAAAAAAUGAAAUAAAGUUGAACUCCCAUUGUACUUGUAAGAAAAAUUCCACAAAAAGAAAAAAAAUCUGCCAACUUCUUCUAAAAAACAGAAAUUCCGGCUAAAAUAGUGUGAAUAGUGAUCUAUAAUAGCAAAUAAACUUUUUUUUGCCCUGAAGACAACGCUGGAUUUUUGUUCACUGAAAUUUAUGUAGUAGUGCAAAAGAAAGUCAGGUUUAUUUCAAAAAAAAACUUAUAAACUCUUUUUACUUUUUUGUAAUUAUCAAUUAUUUUUUCUCAUAUAGGGUGUAUAUACACACGAGGAACUAAAGGGUAUUUCCCAGAUCCUUCACCGCUAUUGUUGGUCCAUUCUGCAGCAGUGUAACGUCCAUGAGGAAAUGUAGCCUGGGAUCCCAAGCACCCCGCGGAAACAAAUGAUUGGAUGUCAAAAUCAGGAAUAGAAAAGCUGCAACACGCUCUCCGAUCCCCACGACAGCUCCUUCGGCAGAUGGGAGAAAGGAUAUGAGCAGAUACUCACUCCUCACCGCAAUCCGCACCUAAUUUUUGUAUACAUUUGCCUCCCUUGUCCUUCCUCCACACUUUGAAUUCCCGGCUUCCUCACCUCCGCCCCCGCCCAUGCAUGCGAAGCAGCAGUGCUCCCAUUACUUCCCAAUUACUCCUCUCGCUCUUUCUCCCACCCUCCUCCCUUCAAUUGUCAUUCUCGGUCCAUCACUCGAGCCUAGCACUAGCACCAGCAUCAUUUUCACCAACCUUCUACCCGUGCUCGGUAAUCUUCUCCCCGCGCGCGUUUCUUGGAAUUUCCAUCGCACCAACCACCGGCCACCUGCACCAUAUCUUUGUUUUUCUCUCUCGCCUCACCGUAAUCCUCAAUUUUCAUCGCGCCGACACCGACCGAGCCAUCCAUCCACCGCCCUCCACUUUCCCAGCGAGCAAAUCCAAUCUUCGCAACCACAUUGCUGCGGCCCUGCUUCCCUUUUGCACCCGAUCAACUUCCUCUUCAUCCCCGCUCCCUUUCCGGCACCGCCGUGCCCAGCAUCUGGCCGUUUGCGCGGCACAGUCCGAUGGUCUUUGCGGCCUGAUUGCCCCGGGCCCGGCCAGAGAUCCACCAGUUCGGGAGGAGCAAGAAGCUGCAGGCUGGUGGCAGCUCCCAUAAAUGGCGGACUCGGAGCUGUCCCGGAGCACGGUGGUGUUCGGGCUCCGCUUGUGGGUGCUCCUCGCCAUCGCCGUCGGCGCCGCCUCCGCGCUGCUCCUUGUCCUCCUCUCCGUCCUCUGCUUCCUCGGCUCACGGCGGCGCCGGCCAACCACCCCCGCCCACCACCUCCCCACGUCCGCGCCUCCGAGUAAGGAUGCCAGGAAGGUCAACGCGCCCGAGGGCAUCCAAGAAGCCCCCUCCCACGCCGCCGCGAAGAUGCCGCUGGCGCGGGUGCUGCAGUCCCCCAUAACGCCGCCGCCGUCGGUCAAGGAGCAGCGCGUGGCGUACCCGGAGCAGCCCCCGCACCACAGCCACCGGAGCAGCGGGAUGCCAUCGUCGCAGGGCAGCACCUGCGAGAGCGGGGACGGCGCGGCCCCGGCGCACCACGCGCCCAAGGCGGCGCCGGAGGUGUCCCGCCUCGGGUGGGGCCACUGGUACACGCUCGAGGAGCUGGAGACGGCGACGGAGAUGUUCGCCGACGAGAACGUGAUCGGCGAGGGCGGGUACGGGAUCGUGUACCACGGCGUGCUCGAAGACGGCACGCAGGUCGGCGUCAAGAACUUGCUUAACAACAGGUAUUUUACAGUAACUUACUAUUACUGAAAGUGUUGUCAACGUUGAAAUAUCAUAUCUGUCACAAUUUGUGAAUUGCAAUGGCUAUGGAUCACCCGAGAACACCCUCACCGAUUUGAAUUUGAAUUUGAAUUCGAAUUUAUGGGUGCUCCCAAUUGAAAAGCCUCUAUAUAUAUGCGCUGUUAGUAUUGGUGCCGGACGCUGCAUGAGAGCUGCAGCUUAGGUUCAGUAAUUUUUCAGGUAUGUUCGUAGCCAGUAGCUUCAGUGUGUUUUAAUUGAGGGACGCUGCCCUCGCCGCUCCGUGCCAUCAAUCGCCUGGCUCAGGGUGCUCUCCGCGGCCACAACUGCUCGAUGAAAUGCGUAUGACAGAUAUUAUGACAAGGACAGAGGGUAGAGAGAGACUGCCAGGUGUGUGAUGACCUGUCAAAACCAUGCUUUAUCAGCACAGAUGCUUUGGCUAGGUUGAGGGACGAAAAAUGUCCGGUUUAAAAAGUUGAAGUGGAAGUUUCCCAGAUUGGGGAUUAAGGGACAAAACAUUAACUUGUAGAUUAGUUGACGGACUAAAAAUAGUUUUUUCUUCAAUAUAUAUGUUCAACUUUUUAGGACCGGCUUGGAUUGGUCAAUGUUUAGUGUCUUGCUCAAACUGAUGAAAUUUUGUUUUUCUUGAUGACUUUGUUAGGGGGCAGGCGGAGAAAGAAUUCAAGGUUGAGGUCGAAGCAAUUGGCCGUGUUCGGCACAAGAACCUUGUGCGCCUUCUAGGAUACUGUGCCGAGGGGAAUCAGAGGUAUUGUCUUGUAUGUGCAUGCACAUUAUUUGAUUACCUUGCUGAGUUAUAGAAUCAACAAUUAUGGAUUGUGGUGAUGUAAAUGUUGCUCAUAUGGUUGGUAUUCUUAGGAUGCUUUUGUACGAGUAUGUUGAUAAUGGCAACUUGGAACAAUGGCUCCACGGGGAUGUUGGACCUGUAAGUCCCCUUACAUGGGAACACAGGAUGAAGAUCAUAUUAGGGACGGCAAAAGGGUGUGUGUUGCUCAGCUUGGAUAACUCUUAUUAUUACUGACAUCUUGCCUAGUCACGUAAACAUCUCACACUUUGUAGUGUAGGUUAAUGUAUUUGCAUGAGGGGCUUGAGCCGAAGGUGGUUCACCGGGACGUCAAGGCAAGCAACAUCCUUCUUGAUAAGCACUGGAAUGCUAAGCUCUCCGAUUUCGGACUUGCGAAACUCUUAGGCCCAGAGCGGAGUUACGUAACUACACGAGUUAUGGGAACUUUCGGGUUAGUUUCUCUGCAUUUCCUGUACCUAUGGUGAUAUUAUAAUAUGGCAUGAAUUUGUGGUUACUAAUUUGUUGUUGAUCAUUGCAGGUAUGUUGCUCCGGAGUAUGCGGGGACUGGGAUGUUAAACGAAACAAGUGAUGUAUAUAGUUUUGGGAUUCUUAUCAUGGAAAUAAUAUCUGGUAGAGUACCAGUGGAUUAUAACAGGCCACCCGGAGAGGUUAGUCAUUGGUGUGCCUUCGUAUAGCCUUAUGAGCUUGUUAAUGCAUUUUUAUUAACUGCAUUUAUAAUUUCUAUAAUUAAACAUUUUCAGGUAAACUUAGUUGAUUGGUUGAAGACAAUGGUGAGCACCAGAAACUCUGAGGGGGUUGUGGAUCCAAAGAUGCCCCAGAAGCCUGCCUCUAGAGCAGUGAAGAAAGCUUUGCUCGUGGCGUUGCGAUGUGUGGAUCCUGAUGCUUCCAAGAGGCCAAAGAUUGGACAGAUCAUUCACAUGCUUGAAGUUGAGGAUUUCCCCUACAACAGAGAUGUAAGUCAAUAAAGGCAUACAUUCCUAAGUUGGAUUUUCAUUUCAUCUGGACAUUUACGAUCGUAAAGAAAUUGAAACAUAUGAAUAAGAAGACAUCAUCUUAUUGCUAAUUUCAGGAACGUCGAGGCGGUAGAGCUCCAACGAAGGCAAGGUUGCCCGGGAAACCGACUAAUGGAAUAGAUGAUGGUGAAAUUGACAACAGUGGGGACAACCACGACCAACCUUUCAGAUGGAAAAAUACAGUGGCCUAGGUACUUGUUCGGUUACCAAAUUAUGUGGAACCCCAUGUUGUAAAUAGGGACAAUACCUGGUGAAGCCGCAAAAUGUCAUUAUUUUAGUGUGAUUCACGGAGAACAUCACAUCGAAUGUAUAUGUCAUCUAAGGAAAGUAGUAGUAAUCCCUGAUUAUUUAUCCAACUGGAGAUGUUUUUACAUGAUAAUGCCAUGAUCUUUUAAGUUAACAACGAAAUGUUAAAGCCCUCAGACGGCCUUUGGUUAAAAACUAGCCGGCGCUUGUGACUUGCCCUGACUCCGACACCGUGUUGUCAUUAUUUACAGUACAGUUCUGAGAUUUUGGAUACUUCAACAAAAGGUCGGAAAUUAAGAUGUAAAAAUGUGAUUAUUCUUGUGCCCACGUACAGAUAACCCUAAGAUGUUUCUCAUUUGAAGUGCACGAUCAUUUCUCUGAAAUUAGUUCAUCUGUAGCAUUUCAUAUUUUUGAGUUCCAAAGUCAGUACACCACCGUUCUAAAUUUAUUGGAGUUGUAGAUUUUUGAGUUCCAAAGUCAGUACACCACCGUUUUAACUUUGACCAGCAAUACAUUAAAAUAACCUGAAAUCUACAAAUCUAAUAUAUAAAAUACGAAAAUAUAUUUUAUAAAGAACCUAAUGAAACUAAUCUGAUUUUGUAGAUGUUAAAUUUUCUGUAAACUUGAUCAGAUUUAAAGAAGUUUAACUUAAGACAAAACCAAACCUUCGGUUAAUUUGGAACUGGGGGAGUACAUAGUACUGGAGAUCAAAGAAGAGCGACCAAAAUGUGAAGCUGGUUGUUCAGUGAUGGGAUCUACACCUAAUCCGGUAUUUUUCCUUUUGUUGCCUUCUUGUUGGCACAUGUGAGCAACUUUGACCAAUAUGGUUAAGACGUCGACAUAGAAAAUGAAAAGAAAUAGAUGGUGCCUGCCUGGCAUCCAUGUCAGGGCUAUAAUUCUCAGAACACAAAAGCUCUUUCCAGCUGAAACAAAAUGUUAGCUGAUAUGUCGUGACCGAGACUGGAGCUUUUCGUAAUGCAGCACGCAUGAAGUACGCACAUUCAGUUAAGAAUCAUCGUUUGACAAACCUGCAAGCUGCCAACAACAGCAACCAAAUUGGCAUGUUCAGAUGUUGAAGCUUAAGAAAGAAUAUCAAACCAAUAAUGCAGAGAGCCUAGCCAGCACGAUGAGUACAGCUUGGCCAAGAUGCAAACGAGAGAGAGGUUGAGAGAGAUGCAGUGCAGAAAUAAUGAAAAAAGAUCUUCUUCCACUAUGCUGCACAAGCUGUACAUCUGUUACAAGAUUUCUUUUUUAGGGAAAGGAUCGGAUCUACUGUAAAAGUUCGUCGGAAGUACAACUCAAACAUAAUAAAAAUUACAUCAAGAUUUCGAGACCACCGAACGAUCACUACUGCCGUGAGAACGAGCCGCCGAUGCGUCGCUCCCCUACCGGAGCCAGCUUUGACCUUAUCGAUGAUAGCCAGGAAUUCUUUAUGCACGUGCCCCUAAGGACCAUCACCCUGGAGCCGCAGUCAUCGCCGUUGAACUCUUGCAUAGAUCUGAAUCAUCUGACACCAAAUCUUGUCACAUGACGAGAAACCCUAACCUCACCGCCCUAAGAAGAUGGCAGGAAUCUAUGUUGGAGCUCCGUCGCUACGUUCAAACAGAAGAACUCGAGGAGGAUCGAAGUCCGGAAGACAAACUCGAAGAAGAAGCGUAGUCGUCCGCCUGAGCGUCGCACCUGCGAGAACUAACAAACCUAAUCUAAAUUACUAAUCGGAACGGAGGCAACGAGAUUCUCCUCCGGCUGCCGGAGCGGCAAGCAGAGGGGAGGCGGAUCCACGGGCUCGCCGGUGAAGCCUGGAGGGGAAAGUUUGCCCUGGCCGCCUAGGGUUAGGGGAGAAAACAAGAGGAAGUCACGUUUGUGCGCAAAGAAAUAUUUUUCUGUUACAAGAUUAUGUGGAGAGUGCAAGGAACUUGAAGAUUGUAUUCAAUCUGUUUGAGCUACUCUCCGGGCUAGAAUUUUUUAAAAGAAAAACACUUUUGCCCCACUUUAUAGAUAAAGCACCAAUUAUGUCCCUACACCACUUUUCUUAAAUAUGUUUGUCGCUCCUUUUUAAACCAUGUCCGUACACCAUGUUAACCAAGUACAUGUAAAAAAUAAGAAAUUUGUUACAGCAACAUCGACAUGCCCAAAAGCGAAAAGGGAAAGUGAUACACGAAUCCUCAUAAAUGAGGAAUCAACUACUAGGAGGCUCAAUGAGCUCAGGUCGAGCACCUGAACACCAUCCAACAUGUUGCCUAGCUAGUCUUUGUCCCACCGCCUGCAUAGCGGGCACCAUUAAUAUUCUUCCCAGUGUUUGGCUACUAGAUGAAGCUAUAGUCUCCCCACGAAAGGAUGAACUAAUAACACUUUUGAGCUUGUCCAUAUUCUGAAAAUUUUGACGUAUCACCAAAAUGUGAGACUUGUUAAUAAAAAAUGCGGGAAACAGCUCCACUAAGCUUAUAGUGACUAUAUCAUGCAUCAGAACUACUCUAGAAAAUUUCAAAUAACCACGCAAACUCAUUUUUUUGUUUGACAACAGUAGAAAACAUAGCAUGAUAUAAGGCACUAAUCAAAAUUCUAAUUGAAUGAGUAGAGGAGAACCAUACCAUUGAGUAAUCCCCCAAAGUUUGAACACAUAUACUUGUCGAGAGAGGAAGAUCAACAAUGGGCAUCAAGAAAAGUAUGGAUUUUUUUUUGAAAAAUAUGUGAUGCUUGAGGAAGGUGAAAGAAUCCUCCCAUGCCCAAGCCCCCUGUGUGUGUGGCUAGUGGGCCCCAUACGACCCUACUACCAGGCGGCCACCCCUCAACUGUAACCGUUUGGCCCCAUCGUGUGGGCCUUUUGGAGGUCCGAGAUGGGACUCCACGUGCCACUGGUGCUCUUUUAUUUAUUUAUUAUGCACUGAUAUGUCUUUCGAUGAUUUUUGAUAUUUUUAUUUUGAUCACUUUUUAUUAUUUAAUAAAGCUGCUUAGUGACAUAAAUACUCUAAUUGAAAGCUUCAACUAAAAUAAAAAGUACUUGUAGGUUAGAGGGAAAAAUAUUGAAAACAAUUGGAUGAGUGGAGGAGAACCAUACCAUUGAGUAAUCCCCCAAAGUUUGAACACAAAUACUUGUCGAGAGAGGAAGAUCAACAAUGGGCAUCAAGAAAAUCUUGGAUUUUUUUUUUGAAAAAUAUGUCAUGCUUGAGGAAGGUGAAAGAAUCCUCCCAUGCCCAAGCCCCCUGUGUGGGUGGCUAGUGAGCCCCACACGACCCUACUACCAGGCGGCCACCCCUCAACUGUAACCGUUUGGCCCCAUCGUGUGGGCCUUUUGGAGGUCCGAGAUGGGCCUCCACGUGCCACCGGUGCUCUUUUGUUUAUUUAUUUAUUAUGCACUGAUAUGUCUUUCGAUGAUUUUUGAUAUUUUUAUUUUGAUCAUUUUUUAUUAUUUAAUAAAGGUGCUUAGUGACAUAAAUACUCUAAUUGAAAGUUUUAACUAAAAUAAAAAGUACUUGUAGGUUAGAGGGAAAAAUAUUGAAAACUUUUGACUUUGUAAUCACCAAGGAUUCUAUUAGGAAGGGUGAUCAAGCAUUUUUAACAAUUCUUCGGUGGAUUAAAAAAAAUCAGAUUUAUGCUUGUGUUACCUCCAUUUCAGUGAGAAUGAGCCGCCGAUGCGUCGCUCCCCUACCGGAGCCAGUUUUGACCUUAUCGAUGACAGCCAGGAAGUCUUUAUGCACGUGCCCCUAAGGACCAUCACCCUGGAGCCGCAGUCAUCGCCAUUGAACCCUUGCAUAGAUCUGAAUCAUCUGACACCAAAUCUUGCCACAUGACGAGAAACCCUAACCUCACCGCCCUAAGAAGAUGGCAGGAAUCUAUGCUGGAGCUCCGUCGCUAUGUUAAACAGACGAACUCGAGGAGGAUCGAAGUCCGGAAGACAAACUCGAAGAAGAAGCGUAGUCGUCCACCCGAGCAUCGCACCCGCGAGAACUAACAAAACCUAAUCUAAAUUACUAAUCGGAACAGAGGCAACGAGAUUCUCCUCCGGCUGCCGGAGCGGCGAGCAGAGGGGAGGCGGAUCCACGGGCUCGCCAGUGAAGCCUGGAGGGGAAAGUUUGCCCUGGCCUCCUAGGGUUAGGGGAGAAAACGAGAGGAAGUCACGUUUGUGUGCAAAGAAAUAUUUUUCUGUUACAAGAUUAUGUGGAGAGUGCAAGGAACUUGAAGAUUGUAUUUAAUCUGUUUGAGCUACUCUCUGGGCUAGAAUUUUUUAAAAGAAAAACACUUUCGCCCCACUUUAUAGAUAAAGCACCAACUAUGUCCCUACACCAUUUUUUUAAAUAUGUUUGUCGCUCCUUUUUAAACCAUGUCCGUACACCAUGUUAACCAAGUACAUGUAAAAAAUAAGAAAUUUGUUGCAGCAACAUCGACAUGCCCAAAAGUGAAAAGGGAAAGCGAUACACGAAUCCUCAUAAACGAGGAAUCAACUACUAGGAGGCUCAAUGAGCUUAGGUCGAGCACCUGAACACCAUCCAACAUGUUGCCUAGCUAGUCUUUGUCCCACCGCCUACAUAGCGGGCACCAUUAAUAUUCUUCCCAGUGUUUGGCUACUAGAUGAAGAUCUAGUCUCCCCAUGAAAGGAUGAACUAAUAACACUUUUGAGCUUGUCCAUAUUCUGAAAAUUUCGACGUACCACCAAAAUGUGAGACUUGUUCAUAAAAAAUACGGGAAACAACUCCACUAAGCUUAUAGUGACUAUAUCAUGCAUCAGGACUACUCUGGAAAAUUUCAAAUCACCAUGCAAACUCAUUUUUUUUGUUUGACAUAGUAGAAAACAUAGCAUGAUAUAAGGCACUAAUCAAAAUUCUAAUUGGAUGAGUGGAGGAGAACCAUACCAUUGAGUAAUCCCCCAAAGUUUGAACACAAAUACUUGUCGAGAGAGGAAGAUCAAUAAUGGGCAUCAAGAAAAGCUUGGAUUUUUUUUUGAAAAAUAUGUGAUGCUUGAGGAAGGUGAAAGAAUCCUCCCAUGCCCAAGCCCCCCGUGUGGGUGGCUAGUGGGCCCCACACGACCCUACUACCAGGCGGCCACCCCUCAACUAUAACCGUUUGGCCCCAUCAUGUGGGCCUUUUGGAGGUCCGAGAUGGGCCUCCACAUGCCACCGGUGCUCUUUUAUUUUUUUAUUAUGCACUGAUAUGUCUUUCGAUGAUUUUUGAUAUUUUUUGAUCACUUUUUAUUAUUUAAUAAAGCUGCCUAGUGACAUAAAUACUCUAAUUGAAAGCUUUAACUAAAAUAAAAGGUACUUGUAGGUUAGAGGGAAAAAUAUUGAGAACUUUUGACUUUGUAAUCACCAAGGAUUCUAUUAGGAAGGGUGAUCAAGCAUUUUUAACAAUGCUUCGGUGGAUUACAAAAUCAGAUUUAUGCUUGUGUUACCUCCAUUUCAGCAUGGUUCCUACCAUAAUUAUUCGAUACACCUUUUGGGGGGGAAUGCAUUUGAAAUUGAGAAUUUCCAAUAUGAAUGAUCAUCACCCACUUUGAUUGAGGACAAUAUUUAUUUUCGUUGAUUUUGGCAUUCCUUGGGAAAUAAACAAUGUGCUCACUUCCUUCAAUAUUAAAAGUAAUUUUUCCUUGACUGCAAUCAAUAAAAUCCCAUGUAGUGUUUAAAAUGGUCUUGCAGGAAUAAAGUGAGAAGGGUACACAAAUAUCAAUUGGUCUUGCAAUAGAUUUAUUAAUUAGCCAUCUCCAAAGAUAUUUUAGUUGAUAUCAGUUUAUUCAGGUCAAAUUUCUUAUAAAUAAAGAAGGGCAUGGCACUCACACCUGCACCUAAGUCACAUAAAUCAUAUUUAACACAAUUACUUUUAAUGGUGCAUGGUAUAGUUGGACUCCAUAAUCUCCUAGUUUUUCAAGAAAUUUACAUUUAAAAGAAUAUUUGCAAGUAUAGUAGUUUUUUAUUAAGUUGGCAGUUUUCUUUUAUUGGUAAAAAAGUCCUCCAUAUACUUAGAAUAAUGUGAAACUUUAAUAACAUCAAUCAUAGGAAUUUGCAAAUAAAGGGUUUUAAGAAAUGUUCCAAUCAUCAUGAUUUUCAGAGAUAUCAUCAAGAAGUUCCUUAGCCUCAAUCAAUGUCAUGUUCUAACAAUCUAAUUGCAUCCUAGAUUCAGGGGUUAGAGCAUAUGAAAUGCAGCGGGCAAAACAUUAUCCUUAAAUACCAUGACUACAACUUCUUUGCAAUUCACAAAAUCUCCUCCAGAGCUAAGUGCAAACUCUCAUUCUUAAGUUGGGAAAAUUUGUGAAUUUCUUUAGCAAUAACAUUCAGCUUUUGCAUAUGCAUAAAAAUAAACAAAUAAUCAUGAGCAAUUUCUUCCAAGCUGAUUAUGCUUCUAGGUGGAAUUUUUUUUGAACCAUAUCUUAGCAUCACCUCAAAGUGAAAAAGUAAACAACUUAGGCACGUAAUAGUGAAGCUACAUGCCUUUCUUAGCAAAAAAGGUUAGCAAAUGCCACAAGCUUCACUAUAUGAUCAUAAUGAUUUUCAUCUUCCCUACCAUUGAACCAAUCUGAUUCAACACCAAAGGAAACCAUAAAUUCCAUAUACCAUAGAAAUCUAGGAUAGAGAGGCUGUUGUAGUGCCAAUAGAUUCACUACUGAAGCCCCGUUAUCGGCUAACAAGCCAUUCUGGCAAACAAAAGAGAUACUUCUAUCAAAGGAAUAUCAAUAAUAUCAGGUUCAAUAGAGAAUUCAUAAGCAUUAUCUUUAAAAUAUAUGGUAGAAGCGCACAAUUCAUUAUCGAGGAUAAACAUCUCCCAUAAAGCUCUCCUUCUAAAUAGUCUAAUUCUAGCAUCAAGAUAAUUAUUAGUUUCACAAUUCACAAAAGCUAUGGCGAAGUUUUAAUCAUACACAGUGGGUGUGCGUGGAGUGUUUGGUUCCCUAAGCUGUGAAGUGGAUGCAUCAGCAGCAGCAGCAUCAAGUUCUUUUGCUCUAUAAAUUUGUCUAUCCAAAUAUUCUCCAAAGAAGGCACAUAAGCAAAAUCAAGUAUAAGAUCAUCAGUAACAUGUGACAUGUUGGACUGCGUAUCAGGUGCACGUAGAUGUGCGGGUGGUGCGACUAGUUGAUAUAAAACUAAUGAAGAAUAAGAAUAUGUUUUGGUUUCUGGAGGUACAUUUUUUACCUUCGAGUCUUGAAUUGUUCCCAUGAUGGAAAAUAAAUUCAGAAAACAAAUAUUUUCCAAGUUGACUUAUACGUAGAUCUAUGCUCUCUGACAACGGUGCCAGAAAAGUGCUUGAUAUCCCCAAGUGCAAACGGUCACAUUAUUCUUCAUUGAGAAGCAUUACAAACCUAAUUUAUAUUCGACAUGGUGGGAGCAAGAUAAUACUUAUAAGUUUUGGCAGUUGAGUUGUCAAUUCAACAAUCACCUCGAAACAAUAUCUGAUCAAGAAUUUAUUAGUAUAAAAUGCCCGAAGUAAUUGUGAUUGUUGCAUGUUUUGCAGAAAGUAAAUGAAAGCAACAAAUACCCAUCAGUUGCCAAGUAUCAAAUAUCUUAAAGAGAAAACAAAUUAUACGAAAAAAUAGGCAUAUGGCUGGAUAAUGGGAGGUUGUGUGUAUACGAUGUAAAAAAAAUGUUUCGUAUGAUUAAAAAAUGCACGUGAGAAUUUAUGGAAAUAUUCUCACGUUUUAGAAAAAUGUCAUGACAUUUUAAAAA